GGAUGCUUGAGAAAUGGUGUCCAAGGUUCUGCACCAGGUAGGUGAGGCCUAGGGGAUAUGUGGGGCCCACUUUUACUCAGAUCAACUCAUACCCUCUUAUGACCUUGUUUUGCUUUAAAAUCUCGCAUGAGGAAACAAUGCCCUGAUUUUCUAUUUCUGCAUUUCCCUGAUUUUCUAUUCCUCGGGAAGCUUCUCUCCAUCCUGUUCCCCUGCUCCCAGCCUUUGGAGGGCUUCUCCAGUGCAUUCAACACAGACCUUCAGAGCCUUGAAGGGUUGGCUCCUGGCUCCUCUGCUCACCCGAGUGCCAGACUUCAGGGGUUGCACCCGGGCACCUACUAUGAGCCCAUGGGAUCUCAGGGAGACUUUCUCAUCUCUCUUGCAGUGGGUCCCUGUCUUGCACUUUGGGAAGGUCUCAUAUACUGUGGGAGGGAGGCUCUCCAUCAGGUCUCUGCCCUGCCCCCAGCCUUUAAUAUACCACGCCUGUAGUGAAGGGCUAUGGGAAAGAUAGGAGCAGGGGUGCUGAGUUGUUCUCUGGAAGGAUUACCACGGGCUUUCUAUCUCACCAGCUCACACAGACCGUGGGAGAUUUAUGAACUGUUCGGCUGGUUUCUCCAUGCCUUUGUCUCUAUUGAAUUCCUUUUUCACCUCUCCACCAAGGAUGCCAGGAGCUCUGAGUCUCUACUCUCCAAGGAAGGGCUCAUUGCUCUCUGGAAUUUAAUUCAUUUAGGCUUAUUGAUAUCCUCAGCUCUCUGAUGAGUUUAAAAGCUAUAAUUUUACAGCUUAUCUGGCUUCUUCUAAGGGUAACAUGGAAGCGACACUCCCUUGUGACUUUCUGCUUUCGAAAGCAAACAUCCAUGUUUUAUAGCUGUGCUCUCUGCAAGUCUUCACUGGGGGCAACAGCAAGUUUCAUAUCUGGACAGCCAAAGAUUAUUAGACUCCAACCAAUGGCUGUUUUGUUCUUCUGACAUCCGAAGACCCAUCCAUUUAGAUGCAGACAUCGACGCUCUUAAAUAAAGCUUUUCACUUUUCCAGGUCACUGCCCCUAACAUUUGGAAAGCAAUAUCGGGAAGCAAUAUUAAUCUGAAUGGGCUGGUUUCUGUUAGGGGGGUUUAAUAAAGUAAAUAUUUUCUCUGUGACUUUGAGCAGUGGUUCCAACCUUCUGCAGCACAAUAGUGAUCAGAGCCUCCCCUGCAACCCCUGCCCCACCCUCUGCUAGAUCUAGGCCUGUUGCCUGGGGGCAAAGGAGGAGUCUCUCAAGGUAGACAAGCCAUCCAGUUCCUCUGCUUUCAUUUUUCCUGUGAUUAGGGAGGACUGCUCUGAAUGAUCCCUAGUAUUCACCACCUGCUAGACAUAAAGAACACCUUCUGCUCUGUCCUGGGUCUAAUAUCUUCCCAAGGCUCAAUCUGCCUUUGCUUUGGGUCUAGGGCUCUCCUCCUCCUCCUGGUACCUUGACAUCCCAGAGCAUCCCUUGUAAGGAAUGCUGAGAAACCACUAGAGGCUGACAAGGAAUCUUGGAGGGCAAAAGGGCUCAGUCAGUUGGGGGGAGGUGGUGAGUGUGCACUUUGUCAAAAAUCACAGCUACUGCACAGAGUACUGCAGUUGCUGUAAAUCCCUGGGCUCCAGUAGGUGGAAACAAUGUAGGCAUGGUUACAGCACCAGAGCUGAUGAGCCAUUUUCUCCAAGUAUGGUAAUAAUAAGUUUAAUUAAUGAAGAUGGUUCUCCACGCUCACAGGCGGUCAUACGACCUGAUGCACUUGGGAGCGUGUGUGUCUAGGGGCAGGCAGGCUGGAAAGGCCCCUCUUUACACUUUCCUGCUCCAUCAAGUGUCAAGGUCACUCUCUGUGGCUUGGGUUUGGCCCAUGACAAUGCAAGGCAUGUUUCUAGUGAAGGAUAGAAACACUAUCUUUAGGAAGAUAUCUAAGCAGAUUUAUCAGAGCUUGAAGUGGCACGUUUCUCAUGACUUUAGUGUAAAAUUGUAAGAAAAUAUUUGUUCUGGAACUGUUGUGUGCAAUAUGAUGAAGAUCCUUGUGAUAUUGAGUGUAGACCCUGAUUCCUAGGUCAAUGUUACCAUUAAAUGUGGUGAUGGUCAGUGUUAUUAUCAUGCAAAGCAGCUUUGUAGAUUUCAAUCUCCUUCCAUCAGACUUUCUGAGAGUUCUUGAGGAAACCAUCAAGCAAGUUUCUUUUUUCACAGCUCUAGUCUGCAGAGUCAUACAGGAUAUUGCCCCUGGGUGUCUAAUAUGCGAUUCAGAUUUGACAACUUCAAUUACAGAACUCUUGGUUUUUCUGUAAAUCUCACACCUCAAUCCUCCUUAUCCAUCUCUUUUAAAGCCACAAAUCUAAGCACCAUCUUUGAUGUUCUCUUUUUAAAAUUCUCUAUAUUCAAAUCAUUGCAAAUGCUAUUGCCUUUAUCUAUAAUACAUAUCUAUCUAUAAUGUGAAUGUAUAUGUGUAUAUACAUGUACGUGUGUGCACGCACAUAUGUGUAUUUGCAUUUAUGUAUGCAUGUGUGCAUAUACAUGUAUGUUGCCUCUCUUCCACCUUCCCAAUUAGCAUGUGAGCUGCAGGAGACAAAAUAUCUUGACUAUCACUUUUGUAUCCUUUGUGCUUGCUGCUGCUGCUGCUGCUGCUAAGUCGCUUCAGUCGUGUCCAACUCUGUGUGACCCCAUACACGGCAGCCCACCAGGCUCCGUUGUCCCUGGGAUUCUCCAGGCAAGAACACUGGAGUGGGUUGCCAUUUCCUUCUCCAAUGCGUGAAAGUGAAAAGUGAAACUGAAGUCACUCAGUCGUGUCCGACUCUUAGCGACCCCAUGGACUGCAGCCCACCAGGCUCCUCCAUCCAUGGGAUUUUCCAGGCAAGAGUACUGGAGUGGGGUGCCAUUGCCUUCUCCAUCCUUUGUGCUUGCUGCUGCUGCUAAGUCACUUCAGUCGUGUCCGACUCUGUGUGACCCCAUAGAUGGCAGCUCACCAGGCUCCCCCAUCCCUGGGAUUCUCCAGGCAAAGUACACUCCAAAUACCCGAAUGAACCCUGAAAGAAAACAUCUGAAAUUUCAGUCAGAAAUUAAAAUAUAUUCCACACUGAGAGGGUACCAAACUCCAGAGAGGCAGGAUUAUUUAUCGAAUUUCACUGGAGAAACAAGUUCUUGGUAAAAACACAUAGUGGGGAGAUGCCUGGUAAUGAUAAAAAUGAUGGAUUCAAUGUUCUUUAGAACAAGGUUGCCCACUGAUGGCCUGAGGUCCAGAUCUGGCCAGCAUAAUAUUAUAAAAUUUUUGAAUUAGUUGACAACAUAAAAUGAAAUCAAUUUUCUGUGUGUCUUGAAAGUCUGGGUUGUCUGUCAAGGUAGGACUUGCAUUCCUGGUCAAGACACUGAUAAGACUGAACUGAGAAGUGACUGUCCUUGAAACAGGAUGCAAGCUCUCCAUGCAUGCCACAGAAGUUUCUUUCUCAACCCAUUUCCCUCAUUUGCACCACCUGCCUGGCCUCUGCAGGCCUCUGAGUUUGAGAGCUUGUCCACUCUGGAUUUCUACAAACUGUCCUUCUGAGGAGACAUGUGGUGACGACACUUCCCUAGCAUCCUUCACUUAUCACCAGCCUGGGACUGGCCUCCAGCCCUUAAUGGACACAAGGAGAUUUGAGGGUCAGUGCCUGGUCCCCAAUUGGACCUGGUCGUGUCAUUCCACAACCCAGCAUCUUCCUUGUUCUCUGGCUAUUUCCCAGACAUUUUCGUAAAAGCAUGGUAAAGACUGACUCGUGUCAGUCAGAGCCUCCACUCCUUUGGAAAUGACUCAGAAUUCAAGUCCUGCUGGAAUCUGGACUGUAGGGUCAUCCGCCUACAGACCUGAUCUGAGUGCCAUGCCCUUCUUGUCACCCACGAUUGGAAUGUGUUAUCUUUCACUUCAUCUUGAACAACACAGCACUCCUGUUAGUCAGAAGAUUCUUUGGAGUCCAGUCCUUCAUCUUCCUCACACUUGUGCUGAGCAAGCUGUGGUCCUUCCAGGAAAGGAAAGAGCCUGCCUGGGUGAGAAUCAGGGUGUCACUGUUCUUGUCCCCUUGUAUAUGUGGCCAAUUUUCUGGAGAGUUUUAUAUUUUUCAAGGGUGGCAGGAGGUCAGGCUUCUGUGAGAAAUUACUCCCUUAGAUUAAGUUGUGAAUCAGAAUUUCUCUUAAUAUUUACAUAACCAGGCAGCAUCAGCGUGGAGUCCAGGAGAUUUCCCCUGGGUUAGAAAUGCCUAAUCAUUUUGUUAUGUUGGUGGGUUAUUUUUAAGUCACAGAAGAAAUAACAAUAGACAGCACCACACCAGCACACGCGCGGCAUAAACCUCCGGCUCAGACCUCUGCAUUCCUCAUGGUGAUCACAUCCCAGCAGUCUUCCCACUUAUCCUGUUGUUGUUUUAGGACAUUCCAAUGAUCCAUAAGUUUAACUCCUGUCUCAGAGGGAGGCCCCAGUGAUGAACAAAAGGCACUGGCUACAAAAGAUGCCACUUUCCAUGAUCACAGGCAAUUUGCUAGUUUUCUCAGAAGACAAGCUCAAGACAGUUUCACGAAAUAUCUGCUUUCAGAAUCACUAGCCAUUGAUUAAAUUUUACUUUGGAAGAAUUUUGCUUAAAACAAAUAGCCGGGUGAGUAACAGGGUCGUCCACGGGGCGAUCGCAGGGUAGCAUGCCCUGAGUCUACUUGCGUUGGUCUCACUGCGGGCUCUUUGCAUGGCAGAGCUGAGUUGGAGACCCUUUACCUGUCCUGGGUGUCCGGUUUCUGUGACAGCUGUGUGUUUUACCUCUGAGGUUCAUCCUUUAUGUCUAUUAGUGAAUUCAUAAAUACAGCCUCAAGAAUGCUACCUGUCCCUUAGCUUUUGAACCAUCAUUACCAUCCAGAAUGGUAAAUCCUUUGUAGGAGUCACCUUGGUUCAGCAGAGGAAAAAAAAAAAAAACACUGACGUGCUUUCAAAUGGUAGAAAAGUAGAGAGAGUUAGAGGGUUUUUCUUUCUUUCUUUCUUUUUUUUAAUAUAGCUGAAUAGGAUUUUAAGAAAGCAGAAUUAUAAUGUGGAAUGAAAAGAAAGCUAGAGGUUGGGUCAGAAACUGGGUUAUCAGUAUAAUGCAGAAAGGGAAAAUAAAUGCUAAUAGACUGCACACAUGCCCUUCCUGCUAGAUUAGAGACCAGGAGGGCGCUUGCUGAAAGCUGCCCAUUGUGCGGCAGAACAGAACACAGGGUCUGGGCGAUUAUCCCCUCCUUGGCCCCUUGUGCCACAGAUGGAGGCUCUUCGCUCUCUUAUCGGGGCCGUGCAUUCAGUCUCUGUAGCCUGAUCUCUUCCUCACUCUUCUGCUCUUACAGAAUGGAUUGGUCUGCUGAAAGACAGGGGCUAGAAGAGGGGCCGACUCUGGUGGGAAAGGGAGCACGUGAGAACAGUCAGCUCGGGAGGCCAGGUGCGAGCCAGGGUGGGCGAGAGGGAGAGGCGGCCCCGGGUGCUGCGCAGGGUCAGUAGCGCAGUUUUCCCUCCGCCCUGGAUGUAGCCGCCUGGAAAAGGGCCUCGUGUCCUGGUGCUCAGGGGUGCCUGCGCUCCCAGCUGUUGAACAAGCAGCCUGAUUCCCUCCCCUGGGGAUGCUGAGCCUCCAGGCUGGCCUCGAUGCCCGCCUUCACCGCUCUUUUCCCAGGAGACCCAGAGCUCAGCCCUGAAGCUGGCGGACCGGAGCUGCCAAUUCAGCAGAGGUGAGCCGGGGCCGACAACAGCGGGCUGAUGGGACUGGUUCCUUCCAAGGGCACCCGCCUGGGAGGAUAAAGGGGUCAGCCUCAGGGCUGAAUCCAGGGCCAGGCUGGACCUGGCCCCAGCCUCCCCUCCUCACCCGCACAAAGGCCUGCGACUGCCUUCACAUUCAGAUUCUCCUGCUCACCAGCUAGGGGGCCUCGGGAAAUCCACUUAGUUUCCCAGCGCUGUCGUUUUCUCAUCUAGAAAAUGGUACCUAAUUGAGAGUGUUACUGAGAAGAUGAAGCGAGCUAAUUUGUGGAAAGGGCUUGGGCCGAUGAGUGGUUUAGAACAGCACCUAACACAGUUAGCUAUUAUUAUUACCACCACCAUUAAUAUUGUCCUUUUAUACAGUAUUACAAUUGGAAAAGUGCCUGAUGCUGGGAACGAUUGAGGGCAGGAGAAGAGGGCAUCAGAGGAUGAGACAGCUAGAUGGCAUCAUCGAUGCAAUGGACACGAACUUGGACAAACUUCAGGAGCUGGUGAGGGACAGAGUAGGGCUUGGCGAGCUCCAGUACAUGGGAUCGCAGAGUCGGACAUGACUGAGCGACUGAACAACAGUAUCUUUAAUAUUACCCAUUUUUAUUAUCAGUAUCUCUACUAACAUUACAUGAUAUUAUUAGUCUAAAAUUCACAUACUAUAGUUUAUAAUAUGUGUGUACCUAUUUAUAUAUGGCAUCAUUUGUGGGAUUUUUGGCGAGUUACUUAGUGUCUCUGAGCCUCAUUUUUUGUUCUGUGGAGUGAGGUUAACAAGUGGCAUUGUUGGGAGGAUAAUGAGAUAAUGAAUAUAAAUUACCCAGUACAGAGGCUGACACAUUGAAAAAGUUCAGUAAAUGGGAACUAGUGUUAUUUUAACUUACCCAUGUGAAUAUGUGUUGUGUGGACCUGCCUGCGUGCUGUUUGCAUCCAGGUAGUUAGGUUUUGGUCUGUUUGUGUUUUAUGAGCAUUUGGAGGAUGGCACAUGUGUCUGUGGGCAGGUGCCUGAGGGCUGGUCGGGGAAGGCUUAAUUGGCCAGGUCCUGUUCAUGGCUCCCAUGAACUUUUGAGCGCAGCUUCUGUCUCUCUUGGAACAACUGGGCUACACGGUGUACUCUGAAGCCUGGAAAUGCAGCUCCGGUUGAGCUAAGAGGCUUGAAUUAAUCCUGACUUCUCUGGCUGGGCUGGAUGAAACUCAGAUCCCCGCCCAGCUCUGCUACAGGUUGGUGCCGUGAUUUCUAAGUUCUUAUGCAUCUCGGGUCUCUCUUGUCUGUACUUUCCUUACCACUGUGGACCCCAGAGACUCCGUCUCUUCCAUUCUUCUAGUAUAGAAGAAUAUGCCUCCAGGAAAGAGUGACUGCAUGGUGUGUGCCCCGGGGAAUCUCAUAUCAAUGGCGUGUCCAGUCCUCAGAGCAUCUCUGUGCUCUCCCUUUGUGGCAGAAGCUGAGUGUGAACAUAGAGGCAAGGGUCUGAUCAGCAGCCCAGGCCAGAGGGAGGAAGAUGUUGGCAAGAACCAAGGAAAACAGCAAGAGAGAAGGACUCAGGAUCCCCUUCUUUGCUGUGGUUCAUGUGUCCUUAUCUGAGUGAGGACUGGAGGAAUCCGCAGAGGGGGAGGGGGAGCUUCCCCAGGUCUGGGUGCUGUCCCCUUAAUUAUUAAGACAGUGGUGCCUUACCCCUGCAGGGUACAGAGGUAAAGGGUCCUUUCUUGGUUAUGCACAUGCCUGUGUAUAACCCUGGGGAACACCAUUCGCAUUCCUAGUCAUCCUAAGUUUAUAGCACUGUCAUGACCAGUUUUCCAGCAGAUGGCCAUAGCGUGUCUUGAGAAAGCAAGGUCUAUUUCUUCUUCUGUAAUGUGUGCAAGAUCACCAUGUUAGUUACUAAAGGGUCUGUGAUUCUCCAUCUCUUCUGCUGCCUCCAUCUGUUCUCCAGCCUUCCGUGUGUCCCCCUUCCAGGUCCCCAGCCACAUUAUCUUUCCUCCUCCCUCCUCCCCUACUCUUGAUUUUACCCCUGAGAUUUUCACUUAGUAAUUGCAGGAAUCAGGUACAAAUUAACAGCCAGGAGGCGGCUACACAGCUCAAAGUAGCUAUAAUACGUGCCCAUCUCAAUUUUCCUCCCGGGUUAGGUGGGCUGAGCCCCUUCCUUGAUAGCUUUCACUAGCAACCCUCUCUUUUUGUUUCUUGGAGCCAGCGCUGCUUCCUGCCUGUCCAGUCUUGAUUGUCAAAUAUUCCUGGAGUUGAAGGACCUUAGUCUCCUCUCCCACAAUCUCCUUAUGUAGUACAGCAGCUCUUAUCCCUGACAGCAGAGGAGAGGGUGGCACUCUCACUGUGUAAGUCCUCUUGCUGGGUCGGUGGAUCCAAACAUGUUGGAGGAGAUUGGCUGAUGGCAAGAGGAAGCACCAGCUUCUUUCUCUUUAGGACUCUGCCAUCAUCUAGGCUCUGUGCUUAGUUGCUCAGUCAUGUCUGACUCUUUACAAUUCCAUUGACUGCAGCCUGCCAGGAUCCUCUGUCCAUGGAGAUUCUCCAGGGAAGAAUACUGGAGUGGGUUGCCAUGCCCUCCUCCAGGGGAUCCUCCCAACCCAGGGAUCGAACCCAAGUCUCCUGCAUUACAGGCGGAUUCUUUACCAUCUGGGCCACCAGGGAAGCCCCACCUAGACUCUACCCUUCUGAUUCAAGGGAGUUCUUAACAAAGCCAUGCCCCAAACAGGAAAUAUUUUUAGAAUGGGCAUCUUGAGUGCUGAGGGCAGAGGCUCCUGGGUUCUACUAGGUCCUGCAUGUAGUUCCUUUAGCCUCCAAUGAAGAAAGUCAUAUUUUGGAAAGAUCUUAGACUUGGAAGUAGAAGUUGAGUCCCAGUUCUGCUACUUUCUACUCUUUUACCUUUGGUAGAGAUAUAAAUUUUGAACCUCAACUUUUUACUCUGUAAAACGGGAUAAUAGUAGGUACAUUGCUUACUGAGUUGGAUUUUUUUUUUUUUUUGACACUAAAGCUGGAUUAAAUCAUGAGAAGGACUUUUGAGGGCUGUGAAAAUAUUAGGUGAAAGAUAUUUACCUCCAUGGCAGGACUCUUGAAACUAUCCCUUCCCCUCAUCUCAGGCAGUAACAUUGUUAUGAGGCCCAGCAGUUUUGGACCAAUGUCCCUGCCAAGAAUAGAUCAACAUUAGUUACAUUUGGGCAUUCAUUUCAGCACCCUUCUUUAUUUCUCCAACAUUUGGUAGUAAGCCUCUGCUAAACAUCAAACUUUUCAUGAAGAAACAUGGUCAGCAUGCAAAAAUGAUGUCCACUGGAGAAACCCACCCACCAGCUGGGGCUGGCUGGACCAAUGUGUGACCAGUGAAAAGAUAAAUUCAGUCUAAGGUUUUAGCAUCUGUGCUUAAUGUUGCACUACUGCAUUUGACAACUAUGCCCUUUAAGUCCCCCUUCCCAGAACCAGCUAAUUCUCACAGGCCAGGGCUCUGAUGGGGGCAUGAGAUUUGUGCAUUGCAGCCUCUGGCUGUCCGUCUCUGCUUUCCACUUCAGUUGGGUUCCCAGGACAUGAAUCUACAGGUGUUCCUUUCUCAGACCAGAGUCCAACCCCGAUGAAGCUGGACAUCUCUUCUUGCCGCAUGGGGUUCUGCAUGGAGGCUGCCUCCAAAGGAUGGAGUCCCUUCUCUGCUGAGAGGAGCCAGGGGCCAGAGCCCUUCGUAUGAUGGCCUUACGUGGGGGCAAUUCAAGGAUCUGCCCGAAUCAUUCUUCCCUUUAAUUUUCCAUGUGGUCACUUGCCAUAACAAAACUGACUCUGAGAAAAGAAAUUCCUCAGCAUUUUGAAUACAUUGAUACAUAGGUGAAACAAAUCAGUGUGAAUUUUCCCUACACUUUCAACACUUUGUUUCUGAAUAAUAAAAAAAAGUCCCUGAAGCAAAUACUAUUUUGAGACUAAUUUCUGGAGGCUCCUAGCAGGCAAAUCACUCUUUUUCUUGCUGUGAUGUUCUUUUUAGUCUUAAAAAGAAAAGACUUAGGGGAAGAUGAUGGCUUUUAUUUUUUAAACACUGAGCAGGUGUCUCGAGGAGGAAGCCCUGAAAGCUUUGGUGGCUGCAGGGGACAGAGCAGGGGGAGACAGGCAGAGGGACCCGAUGGAGAUUUGGGCUGGAAAUUAGAAUACUCCAAUUCAGCAGUUCCCAAGCAGCCUGGCUAUAGAUCCAUUUGAGAAGGAAUUUUUAAACAACUAUUUGGGAAGUUUUUUUUUUUUUUUUCUUUUUAAAGAACCAGUGCUCGCAGCCUUCCCUAGGUAAUUUUGAUUUAGAUGGUCUGGCAUAGGGUCUAGGAAUCAUGGUUAAAGACCCAUUCUAUACCUAGGCAUCAGAAUUACCAUAGGAGAAUUGGGGAAAUUUAUUUUAAAAAGCUGCCCACAGUGGUUCAAAUGGAGACAGGUCCCAGUACUCAGACAUUUUCAAAAACAGCUGGCCAUUUCAAAAUGCUGCAUUGUAUUUGGGGUGCUCCCUGCGAUUAAGCACACUGGCACUCACUGGGGGCCUCCCACAGGCAUAUGUGCAGGUGUGACAGGGAGCUUCUUGCUCAAGGGUGGGAGGGGACUGACUGGGCAAUCUCAAAGCCCACGUCUACCUUUGGAUCAGCCACUGUGUUCCCCACAGCUGUCUGCCUAAUGUUAAGCCAUGUUCAGAUUCAUGUCCAAUGUGACUGGAAGAUAUGGUUGGAAAGAAAGCAGCCAUGGUGGAGUUGGCAGUGGUGGUAGGGGCUUCUUCAACCCAUGAGAGCCCCUCUUGUGUCCAUCUCUAUAAACUCUGGGAGUAAACUGUAGACGUGUUUGCUUUGGCAAUGUUGUUUUACUUAAUCUUCCUGCAUCAAGCACUUUGCACAUCCCUCUCUGUAUCCAUUUUGCCCUCCAUGAAGGCUUAUCUCCCAGUCUAUCUUCAAUGAAGCUUCCUUUUGCAACCCUAUCAGGUGUGGAGCUGGGUGGUGGAAAGAGUCAGAGGGAAAUUAGCAGGCAUCUCUGCAUAGCUGAGCCUGAGGACAGUAUGGGCCCCAGGAGAUGGUAGCUGGUCUUUAUCGGGUUUUGGAUUUAGGCUAGGAGCUGGUGGUACUGGGACCUCUGGAUGCCCCCACGUGUACCCUCAUCCCUGCUGGCCUUGGUAGAGUGUUCAGCUCUGACGAUGACUAGCAUGUCCCUGGGAGUGACUAAGGCUCCUCCUGCACUAGGAGAUGGGGUAAGAGGGGAUGUUAAUUUAUCCUCAGGGAUUGUAUGUCAUGAAAAAAACAAUAAAACAAACCUUAAAUCCAAAGAGUUAAGUUUGGGUCAGAGUUCUGCUCAAUUUCAGUCAUAUGCCAGAGAUGCUGGAGAAGUCAAUGUUUUUUAUCUUCUUAGCUGCAAUAUUUGAGUACUAAUGCAUAGUCAAUGUAAAGAAAUAGAGGAAAACAACAGAAUGGGAAAGACUAGAGAUCUCUUCAAGAAAAUUAGAGAUAACAAGGGAACAUUUCAUGCAAAAACGGACUCAAAAAAGGACAGAAAUGGUAUGGACCUAACAGAAGCAGAAGAUAUUAACAAGAGGUGGCAAGAAUACAAAGAAGAACGGUACAAAAAAGAUCUUCACGACCAGGAUAAUCACAAUGGUGUGAUCACUCACCUAGAGCCAGACAUCCUGGAAUGUGAAGUCAAGUGGGCCUUAGAAAGCAUCACUACAAACAAAGCUAGUGGAGGUGAUGGAAUUCCAGUUGAGCUAUUUCAACUCCUAAAAGAUGAUGCUGUGAAAGGGCUGCACUCAAUAUGCCAGCAAAUUUGGAAAACUUGGCAGUGGCCACAGGACUGGAAAAGGUCCAUUUUCAUUCCAAUCCUAAAGAAAGGCAAUGCCAAAGAAUGCUCAAACUACCGCACAAUUGCACUCAUCUCACAUGCUUAGUAAAGUAAUGCUCAAAAUUCUCUAAGCCAGGCUUCAGCAACACGUGAACCCUGAACUUCCACAUGUUCAAGCUGAUUUUAGAAAAGGCGGAGGAACCAGAGAUCAAAUUGCCAACAUCUGCUGGAUCAUCGAAAAAACAAGAGAGUUCCAGAAAACAUCUAUUUCUGCUUUAUUGACUAUGCCAAAGCCUUUGACUGUGUGGAUAACAAUAAACUGUGGAAAAUUCUGAAAGAGAUGGGAAUACCUGACCACCUGACCUGCCUCUUGAGAAACCUGUAUGCAGGUCAGGAAGCAACAGUUAGAACUGGACAUGGAACAACAGACUGGUUCUAAAUAGGAACAGGAGUAUGCCAAGGCUGUAUAUUGCCACCCUGCUUAUUUAACUUAUAUGCAGAGUACAUCAUGAGAAAUGCUGGGCUGGAAGAAGCACAAGCUGGAAUCAAGAUGGCCGGGAGAAAUAUCAAUCACGUCAGAUAUGCAGAUGACACCACCCUUCUGGCAGAAAGUGAAGAGGAACUAAAAAGCCUCUUGAUGAAAGUGAAAGAGGAGAGUGAAAAAGUUGGCUUAAAGCUCAACAUUCAGAAAAUAAAGAAUGGGACAUCUGGUCCCAUCACUUCAUGGGAAAUAGAUGGGGAAACAGUGUCAGACUUUAUUUUUUUGGGGCUCCAAAAUCACUGUAGAUGGUGACUGCAGCCAUGAAAUUAAAAGACGCUUACUCCUUGGAAGGAAAAUUAUGACCAACCUAGAUAGCAUAUUCAAAAGCAGAGAUAUUACUUUGCCAACAAAGGUCUGUCUAGUCAAGGCUAUGGUUUUUCCUGUGGUCAUGUAUGGAUGUGAGAGUUGGACUGUGAAGAAAGCUGAGCCCUGAAGAAUUGAUGCUUUUGAACUGUGGUGUUGGAGAAGACUCUUGAGAGUCCCUUGGAUUACAAGGAGAUCCAGCCAGUCCAUUCUAAAGGAGAUCAGCCCUGAGUGUUCUUUGGAAGGAAUGAUGCUAAAGCUGAAACUCCAGUAGUUUGGCCACCUCAUGUGAAGAGUUGACUCAUUGGAAAAGACUCUGAUGCUGGGAGGGAUUGGGGUAGGAGGAGAAAGGGACGCCAGAAGAUGAGAUGUCUGGAUGGCAGCACUGACUCGAUAGACAUGAGUUUGGGUAAACUCCGGGAGUUGGUGAUAGACAGGGAGGCCUGGCAUGCUGCAAUUCAUGGGGUUGCAGAGAGUCAGACACGACUGAGCGACUGAACUGAACUGAACUGAACUGAAUGCAUAAUCAGGUUGUCAAAAAGGAUUAAGUGAGAUUAUGUCUGGUGCUGUGUAAAUUAUAAAUGUUAUAGAAAUGUGAAGAGCUGUUAUUGUUAUCUCAAACUCUAGUCUUGUGAGUCAUACAAAAAGCUUGCAUCUGAAUCAAAAGGAUUUUGUCCAAUUUUUGGACCUUUAUUUUUUAAUUAAAUUUUUAUUGGAGUAUAGUUGAUUUGCCAUGUUGUGUUCAUUUCUGCUGUAAGGCACAGUCAGCCAGUUAUACAUACCUACAUAUAUAUGUAUACACACAUAUAUCCACUCUUUUUUAGAUUCUGUUCCCAUUAGGUCAUUACAGAGUAUUGAAUAGAGUUCCCUGUGCUAUACAGUAAGUAGGUUCUUAUUAAUUAUCUGUUUUGUAUAUAGUUGUGUGUAUAUGUCAGUCUCAACCUUCCAAUUUACCCCUCUCACCCAGACCUUUAAUUUUCAGGAAAAAAGCAUUUUUGUGUUAUCCCAAUGAGAGUCACAUUUAUGGGACCUUUAUUAUGGGGUUUGGAGAGACCAAGAGGAACUAAGUUAGGUUUAUGCCUUUGCACAGCUCGUAGCAUAAUGAGUUCAUUAAAAAAGGACUAAAUUAUCCUAAACUGCAAUGCAUAGUAUGACAGAGAGGAAUGCCUAGGUUCAGAGAUUGGGCAGACAAAGAAGUGAUGAGGAUGCAGGCAGGAAGAGCUUCUUAAUAAAACUGGUAUUUGGGUCUUGAAGGAAUUCUUCAGGAAGAUAUGCAUGAAUGAAGUGUUUAGUCAUUUAACGUUAUAUCUGGCAUGUUCUAAAUGACACUUUGUAGAUACUCUGGGUCAUUCAGUUAUAUUCCUCAGCAAAGUGUUGGCUGGACUGAAAAUCUGAAUUCUGUCUCCUUUACUAUAGGAGCAGUAAAGUUCUCUGUUCUGUUCUUUCAGUCUCAGCUGGGCGGGUUCCUGUCUGUCUCACACGUGUUUUUUUCCAGGGGACAGCCAGAGAUUUAGACAGAAUUUACAAGCAGAAUAUAGGGCUCCCCCACCUGGGCUUAUUCCCUUUUAGAUUAUUCCCUCUGUUUCUCAACAACUGUAGGCACUAUGAAUUCUGUCUUCUGCCUCUGCAAGCUGGUAAGACAGUUGGAUUUCUAUCCAGUUCGCUUGCUGUUCACUAGCUGUUCACUUGCUGCUGACUGAAGUCUGCCUUUAGGUUAAAAACAAAAUGUGAAAAUGGAGAAAUAACAGAGAGCCAUUUCUUUCUUCCAAUUGUGGUCUCCUCUUUAGUUUCCUCUUGUUUUUGACACGUGCAUGUAGCUGUUUUAAAAAUAUUCUCCACUGUUUAUAGCUGUUAUCCACAGGAGGGCUGCUCUAAUAGGAGAUACCUGGUCAUCACACUUAACAAGAGGGACAGGAAUGCGACACAGAGAGAAGCCAGAGAAUGACUCCAGAAACAUGAUAUGGGCAAGUACAUCAUUCACUCUCGUAUUUGUUUAUCCAGCAAAAAAUUUUUGAGCAUCCAUUGUGGGCAGAGCUCUUCUCCUGGCACAGGAUAACAUAAUGUUGACUGUAGAUACACAUUCCAUAGUCACAGAUACACACUGCAUAGUCAUUCAAGCUAAGAGAGAUUAUUUAGAAUAAGUUGAUUCAAGAAGAGAUCUGAAAACAACUCCCCCUCCCACCCCUGCCUCCCACCCCAGGAUUAGGCUUUUCAAAGGAGAGAUAAAAAUUGUGUACAUUUUUGCUUUCCUGUAUGAUCUUCACUAGUCCAGAUGGCUAUUGACCACUUGAAUUGUGAUUAAUCUGAAAUGAAAUGUGCCUUAAGCAUAAAAUGCACAUCAGAUCUCAUUAAACUCAGUAUGAAAAAAUGUGAAAUAUCUCAUUAAUACUUUUCCAUAAUGUACUCUUUUGGAUAUAUUUGGUUACAUAGAUAAAAUUAUAAUUACUUUCACCUGUUUCUUUUUAGUUUUUCAUAUGUACAGUUCUGACACAAGCUGGGUGUCCCACACAUUUAAUUCAAUUCUGACACGAUCUGGAUACCAGCAGAUCCCACGGGUCAAAGGCUCAGUGCCACAAGACUGACCCCAAUUCAGAUGCUAACCAGAAGUCCAGGUUGUCACUUGUGCUUUUGACCAACCGUCUGUAGAUUGGAGGUUUCCAUCACCCCCUUUUUAGAGUCAGUUAAUUUGUUACAGUAACUCACAAAACAGAGAAACAUUUUACUUAAUAGAUUACCAGAUUAUUAUAAAAUGUUAUAACCUAGGAAUAGCCAAGCGGAAGAGAUUCAUAGGGCAAAGUAUAUAGAAAUGGUGGGGAGAGUCCCUGUUCUCCCAGAAUCUCUAUAUGUUCACCAACCUGGAUGCUCUCUAAACCCUGUCCUUUUGGGUUUUUGUGGAUGCUUCAUUAUAUGGGAACAAUUGAUUAAAUCAUUGGCCACUGGCCAUAAAUUCCAUCUCCAAGCCCUCUCUCCUCCCCAGAGGUCAGGGGAGUGGGAAGGAAGGUUCCAACCCUCCAAUCACACAGCUGGUUCCCCUGGCAACAAACCACCACAGUUCUUUCCAGAGGUUACCUCAUUAGCAUAAACUCAGGUAUGGUUGAAAGGGGUCUGUUAUGAAAAUCAAGUCACCUUUAUUGCUCUCAUCACUUAGGAAAUUCCAAGGGUUUUAGGAGCUUGGUGUUAGAAAUGAGAGGAAGAUGAGAGGAAAUAGUUCUUAUUAUAAAUCACAAUGCUACAAUGUACUUAUUAAAAAGUGUAAAAUUACUUAUAUAGGUCAGGUUAUUUUUCUGCUGGACAAAAGUGAUCUAGACCAAAGGUCAGUAAAUGUUUUCUUUAAAGGGUCAGCUAAUGAAUAUUGUAGGACAUGUAGGUCACAGGGUCUCUGCUGCAGCUACACAACUCUGCCGUUUUAGUGCAAACACAGCAUCAAUAAUACAUAUAUGGAAGAGUAUGAAAAUGUUACAAUAAAGCUUUAUUUAUAGACACUGAUAUUUGAAGGUCACAAAAUUUUAAUGCAUCCCAAAACAUUAUUAUUUGACUAUUUCUCCCCCAUCAUUUAAAUAAAUAAAAACCAUUUUUAGUUUGCAGAACCUCCAAAAACAGGUGGGAGACUGAAUUUGGGUGUGUACCACUGUUUGUCAAACCAUGGUCUAGAACAUCAUUUGGAAGGACCUGAGAAACAACUGGUUUUGAAAAAUAUCCUGUCUAAUAAAACACCUGGUAGGCUGAUCCAUUGUUUCCAGUUCUUCCUGACUUCCUGCAUUAGAAUUCCUCAUUCACACCCUUUCCCAUAUGACUUAGCAGAAUCAGUUAGUAGGAUGGAAAGAGUCUAUUUUCUCAUCUCAUUGACCAUGGGCUUGACCAUAAGACUUGUACUGGGUAGUGGGAUAUAGGUAGGAAUGGUGAAUUUCAGGUUGUAGCUUCAGAGGAAUUGUGAGUUUACACCUACAUUCUUGAAAUUUCUGUCAUGGAACCAGCUUCCUCUGGGUAGCUGUUGCUAUUUCAACCUGGUUCCCAGACUAACCACUGUGGAACAGACCAGAGAACAAACUUGAAUUGAGGUACAACCCCAGCCUGAAUUUCAGCUUGAGGUAGAGCCACCUAGUCAAGAUCAGUAUAGAUCAGCAAAUUCACAGUGGACUCACAAGUCUGAGAAAGGUAAAUGUUCCCUCUGUGUGUUACAAAUGUUUUGUAAAUGCUCCUUACACAGCAUUUGCUGACCACUACAAAUUCUAUUUUCUCUUCAUUUCCAUUGAAUCUCACUUUAUAUCUACACAUUCUGUCCUUAACAGCAAAAUCUGGGCAGUUUUCUGCUCAUCAAAAGAGGCACCAUGGCCCCUGCAUUCCGUACUGCACUUGCUUCUAGGAUUUGUCAGUUUAAGCUAUUGUUUAUUUCAUACUGACAGUGGGGGAAAGACAGGCAGUUAAUCUAACUGCAACUGAAUUUAGAAAUUACUCAAAUCUAAUUUUACUUACUUCUUCAUUCCCAAGUUACUUUUUCUGCUUUCUUUCAUUUGUGUGUGUUUUAAAUCAUUUCCCACUGUUUAUUUUUAAUUUCUACUUUAUUUUAAUUAUUUAAUAGGUGGCAUCUGUGCACUGCCUGUCAUUCACUGAGCAGUUUGUGUUCUGCUUAUGGCAUCACAAAAAUAUUUAAGCUGCUGCUUCAAUGGUGUCACCAUCACUCAGACUUUAGACUAUAGGACUCUUCUUUCCCUGUUUGGAAGAAUAGAAUUCUCGGAGGUGACCAGGGUUCUUUGAAAAGCUAGCACCCAAACUAUACCUGAUCCCAGGGAAUGGAAAGUAAGGAGGUUUCCCCUCUUUCUCUGCUGCUUUUGAGAAAAUACAUAUUUUCUUAAAUGUCACCAGGUAAUAUGACACAGGGGCUUUCCAGGCGGUUCAGUGGUAAAGAAUCCACCUGCCAGUGCAGAAGACAUAGGAGACGUGGGCUUGACCCCUGGGUCAGGAAGAUCCCCGGAGGAGGGAAUGGUAACCCACUCCAGUGUUCUUGCCUGGGUAAUCCCAUGGAGAGAGGAACCUUGUGGGCUAUAGUCCAUGAGGUCAUAAAGGGUCAGACAUGACUGAGCACCUGAGCACACUGAGCAUGCAACCUGACCUGGAUGACAUUGCAUUAAGAUUUCAGUGGCCAUUUGUACCCCAGUGAGAACCAGUGUGUGAAGUUAUUAGUUGGUCCCUAGCACUAUCGAAACUGAACGUGGCCAUGGAUGUGGGCAGAUUGAGCAUCUGGGGAAGGAGUAUGAUGCCUGGGAAACUGGUAUGGGCAUAUUUAGUUGGGUUUGCAAAGGAAAGGAAAACACCUAAGGGGCAUGUAGGGAGCUGUUUGGUGCUCUGGAAGGUUCCCUGGAGUCAAACAGUGGGGUUUUCAGACAGACCAGAACAGUCUGCCCUAGAACAGAUUGCAGCUGGGCUGGGAAGACGACACACGGGAAGCAGCAGAAACAAGAUAGACUCCUGCCUGGGUUCCCAGCCUCCCCUCUGGGCCCUGAACCAUCUGUUCUGUUCUCCAAGAGCAGCCAGUAAGAACACUGUAAGGCUUACAUCAGACUGUGACUUUCCUCAAAACUUUCCCACAGCUUCCUAUUGAAUCAAGAGUGGUGCUGACAUGCUUACCACCCCUGAUGGAGCACUGUCUAGUCCUUGGCGUCGUUCCUCCCCGCCUCCUCCUUGCUGAUGGUCCCAGCAGCACCGGCCUUCGUUCUUCAUCUAACCUCAGUGUUGGCUCUGUGUGUUCCCCCACCCCCAUGGAAACUUCUUUCAGACAUUAACACAGCUCAUUUUUUCACUUUAUUUAAGUCUCUGCCCAAAUGUCACCUCCUCAGACUUUCUUUUAUCACCUGAAAACACAUCCUCAGUCAUCAUCUACCCCUUGAUACCGCUUUAUUUUUCUCCAUAGCACUUAUCACUACAUUAUCUUAUACAUAUAGUUAUGAUUUCUUGUUAGUUUAUCUCCCUCAUUAGAACAUAGACUCUGAAAGGGUGGUAACUUCGCUUGUUUCGUUUUCUGCUGUACACUCAGUUUUAAGAACAGUGCCUGGUGUAUUGUUAUUUAGUUGCGAAGUUGUGUCCAAGAAUACUGGAGUGGGUUGCCAUUUCCUUCUCCAGGGGAUCUUCCCAAAUGUGUCUCCUGCAUUGCAGGCGGAUUCUUUACGACUGAGCCACCAGGAAGACCUCUGAUGUAUUAUAGACAUUAUCAAAUAGAGUGUUGAGUGAAUGAAUGAAUAGCCUCCAUGUCUGAUUAUAAGGCUACAUGCAAUGUGUUGGGGGUACUUAGCUCGCUGAAAUUUCAUCCAGUCGGUUGAGCAUUUGUACUAAGUACGUGCUAGAAAGGUAGAGAGAUAGAUAGAUAGUUGAUAGAAUCAGUGUACUGGUACCCUGUACUGAUAAUGGACAGAGUUAGUGUGAGAGAAAGAAUGAAAGAGUCCAUCUUAAUAAUUUCUUUCCAUUAUCACGCAAGGAAAUAGACCAUAACCCACAUGGAUUGAUCUCAGUUUUCAGAGAUGUUGCCACCGUGAGCUAAGGAGAGGAAAUGUAUUCCCUGCCUCUUCAAGAUUUCAAGUAGGACCAGUAUGGGGGUCUUGUUAGAGUUUAUUGGAAAUAUUAUUGUUUUUUAGUCAGAGUUAGAUGAACCCUGAUGAACCUGCAGGUCCCUCUGCAGUUCUCAGCCGUAUCUAGUCCCUCAUUUUCAUCUGAAAGCAGCACAGUUUGAACUCACGUUGCUCCUUGUUCUUUUUUUUUUUUUUUUUAAUACUCUUGUAUUAUUUAUGCCAAUACACACAGGGUCUCCAAACAGCGAAAUCAGAUAUUGGCUUACCGAUAGGGCUGGUGGUGGUGGUGGUUCAGUCACUAAGUCGGGUCCAAUUUUUGCGACCCCAUGGACUGUAGUCCGCCAGGCUCCUCUGUCCAUGGGAUUUUCCAGGCAAGAAUACUGGAGUGGAUUGCCAUUUCCUUCUCCAGGGGAUCUUCUGGACUCUGAACUGGUGGUAAAUGCUUCUUGGCUGGGUUGGACUUGAUUCUUUUUUAGAAUUAUUAUUUAUCUAUUUUGGGCUGUGCUGGGUCUGUCCUGCAGCACACAGGCUCUUCAUUGUGGCAUACAGGCUUUCUCUAGUUGCAACAAGUGGGGGUUACUCUCUAGUUGUGAUUUGUGGGCUUUUCAUUGCAGUGGCUUCUGUUGCUGCAGAGCUGGGCUCUAGAGUGUGGGCUCAGUAGUUGUGGCUUAGUUGCCCUGUAGCAUGUGGGAUCUUAGUUCCUAGACCAGGGUUGGAACCUGUGUCCCCUGCAUUGGCAGGCAGAUUCGUAACUCCUGGGCUGCCAGGGAAGUCCCUGGACUUUAUUCUUGAAGAAGUGAUUGCUUUUAGCUGGUGUAGUCAGGGAGGGCUUCCUGGAGGGGACAAGACUUAAAUGACAUUGACAAAGAGAUAAACUUGGAAAGAGAGGAAAGGAGUAAAUUUAAGUGUAAUAGCACCAGCCAAAGGACCUGAACCCUGGAAAUGGCAAUAACUCCCUCCUACCUUUCCUGCAAUGAAGGAAAUCCUCUCUUUAAGGUCUCAUGGGAAAUAGAUGGGGAAACAGUGGAAACAGUGUCAGAUUUUAUUUUGGGGGGCUCCAAAAUCACUGCAGAUGGUGAUUGCAGCCAUGAAAUUAAAAGACACUUACUCCUUGGAAGAAAAGUUAUGACCAACCUAGACAGCAUAUUUAAAAGCAGAGACAUUACUUUGCCAACAAAGGCCCGUCUAGUCAAGGCUAUGGUUUUUCCUGUGGUCAUGUAUGGAUAUGAGAGUUGGACUGUGAAGAAAGCUGAGUGCUGAAGAAUUGAUGCAUUUGAACUGUGGUGUUGGAGAAAACUCUUGAGAGUCCCUUGGACUGCAAGGAGAUCAGCUCUGGUAUUUCUUUGGAAGGAAUGAUGCUGAAGCUGAAACUCAAGUACUUUGGCCAGCUCAUGCGAAGAAUUGACUCAUUGGAAAAGACUCUGAUGUUGGGAGGGAUUGGGGGCAGGAGGAGAAGGGGACGACAGAGGAUGAGAUGGCUGGAUGGCAUCACGGCUCGAUGGAUGUGAGUCUGAGUGAACUCCGGGAGUUGGUGAUGGACAGGGAGGCCUGGCGUGCUGCAAUUCAUGGGGUCGCAAAGAGUCAGACAUGACUGAGCAACUGAACUGAACUGAACUGAACUGAAGGUCUCAUUUUACGUAAGAAGCGGGGAAAUUGACAGCAGCUCCCCUCUACUUGGGCUUCCCUGGUGGCUCAGUGGUAAAGAGGAUACAGGAGACUUGGGUUUGAUCCCUGGGUUGGGAAGAUCCCCUGGAGAAGGAAGUGACAACCCACUCCAGUGUUCUUGCCUGGGAAGUCCCAUGGACAGAGGAGCCUGGUGGGCUACAGUCCGUGGGGGUGCAAAAGAGUUGGUCAUGACUUAGUGACUAAACAACAACAACCCUCUACUUGGCAUUGAGUGUCUUGUGAACUCGCUCGCUUCACAGGGACAGCCACUCAGGUGUCACUUCUCAGAAUACACUUCUAGUAAACACUAAUUCCUGCCCACAUUUCAGUCUUCUGCCAAAACCUUGCAUCCGUCGACCCCUCCCAGCUUCCUGCCCCAAGGAGUAAGAAGGGAGAGAAGGACCUGAAAUUGACAAAUUGUCAUAAAUUUGAAUCAUAGCAGAGCUUAUUUAGCUAUGUAACCAAUGUAGGCUAAUAACAUGGAGUCUUAGAAAUGUAAUUGGGGUAAAUGGAAGCAAAUUCUGAAACAAAUGUAAAAAAAUAACCUCACCAAACCCCAAAAUUCAAACUUCUUUUUUGUCUACUUAUUGCAUCAGUUAACUAUAUUUUGGGCUGAAGAUGUAUACUUAUUACAUAUCUUCUACAGGGCAGAAAAUGAUCUCCUUUUACAGGAGAUAGUAUUGAUAAGGAGCUUGUGACUCAGAGGACGUAUUUCCUGCAGCUCUUAGAUGAUCAGGGUCAACUUAGUCUAAGACUUUCUAAAAAGCUUGCACUUUAAAUAAUACAUAUAUUUAUAAUUGAACCUUAAUCAGUUAAUCCUAAGACCUAUAAAAAUAGAGAAUGAAUAUUGGCUCUCGCUCCCUGAAAGUUACAGACUUUAGCCUUAUUGAAGGAACUAAAAUUACAAAAUUAUCUCAUCUCAGGAAAAAAAAAAAAUCCUUUAUACCAUUCUUGUCCUUUAAAGGUAAACUGUGUAAUCAGCUGGCUUGUCAGGCUGUUUAACGAGGUAAAGAAUAUUAAAGUAUUUGUCUUGGCUCCUGCAUUUUGUCAGUGUUGUAAAAAUCAGAGAAUAGAGCCUGUCAGUCAUCUGGUUGGCUGUUUGGAUGAAGGAGUUUGAUGGAGGCAACAGCCUGUAACUAAACAAGAUGUCUGCAAAAUUUAGGCUCCCUGGUGACCUGAUGGUAUUUCCCAGAGUGGAUUCAAGAACAGAACCAAAAGUAGCUUCCUCCACCAGGCAGGUGGGUGGACCAAUUAAGUUUCUGGGCUCCUCUGAGAUGUCAUCAGCAGUCUCUUCCUUCUCAAGGCUAUUAAGGGGUGAAAACCCACCCUGGGGUGGCCAUUGUCAUGGGGUCCAAGAGUCAUUGUUUUCUUGCUCCAGUCAUGUUGUCAACUGCUGGGAUUUCUGAGCAAGCUACCUUUGAGGAAUACUCCUCUCCUCUUGUCUUUCCUGACUCUGAAGAAGUUAUGAACUGAAUGAAGAGUAAGAAUGGGCUCCAAACACAUCACUGAGAACAGCUAAGAUAGAGGUCAUCCUUACAGUUCUGUUAGCUGAGUGGACUUGUUACUUCUAAGCCCCAGAAUGGAACAGGCCCACCCACUCAGCUCAGAUAGCACUAAACAGAAUGAAGCAUUUCAUCAGGAAAGGCCUGACCAGUCUAGAUUUUUGGGAGAACUCCUGUCCCUGCUGGACUGGCUGGUUCCCACAAGUAGUGAAGUUAGAGUUCGAGUGAGCAUCUUUACUUAGUUUUCUCCAACUCACCAGUCAAAUAAAUGAUGCUUUGGAAGAUGGGGACAGAUCCGAGUCUGUAAAGAGAGUUCUCUGUCAGUAGGGUUCUCUCCAUUUGAAAGGAAACUUCAGGAAUGGAGAAAAAGAUUUCUCUGUCUUGAAAGUCAGCUCGUGUAGGAAUGCUCGCCUGCCUGGCGGGCCAAGUUCUCGACCAUGUCUGCCCAAGCAUAGUCCAUCACCUCUGCUCCGCAACUUCCCUCAUUCUUAAUGCAGACGCAGUUGUUCCAGCUUUAACCUACUGUGUUGAAGAUUAGUGCCCAUGCACCAAACACAAAUAGAAGGAUGUCUGGCAGUAAGGCGGCUCUUAGACUCCCUCUCUGCUGUGUUUCCCCAGGCUUCUGUCCCGUGGUGGACUGGUAUUACCUCCCAUUUAUGGGAAGGCCAUCCAUGUUCUCCAGGAUCACCUGUAAUUCUCUCUCCCGCACUGUAAUUCACACUGCAUGCCAUCACUGGACUAAUUUUCUGAAAAUACUCCUCUUAUUGAGUCACUCAAGCUCUCUGAGUCUCCAUUUCCUCAUUGGUAAAAUGGAUAUGUUUAUGUUUUCCCUGCUUCUCUACCUUGUGUUGUUGAUUAAAGGCCAAACAAGCCCAUGGAUGGAAACAUGCCCUGUAAACAGAAAGCGUUUCGUGUAUAUGUGGAUGUAUAUACAGCCCAGCUUAGGGACCCUCACUUCUUUCUGUUGUCUAUUAAAUCACGUUUGGUGUUCAAGGUUUUCAUAACUAGGUACGUUCCAAACCUCCCCACCCGACUGAAGGACUGAACUGAAACCUCCCCACCCCUUGUUACCCUGCAAGCCUGGUUCUUUUUUCCUUCCCCACCUAUCCCUCUGGGAAGCUUUCCUGAUGGCUGCUACUCUCCGAAUUCUCCUUCUCAUCUGAGCUCUUACAGAUUCUGUAGUCAACAUUGAUACAUUUCAACCACAGCUGCAUGUGAGAAACACCCAGAGAGCUGUGUGAUGAUACUGUUGAAGUAGAACACCCAGAACAGUUGAAAUAGAAUCUUUGAGGGUGAGACCAGGAUAGCUACUUUCUAAAUGCUCUCUGACGACUCUAAUGUACAGCCCAGGCAGAGAGCCCCUCUUUAUACCGUGUAUUCAGCAUUGAAUUGUUUUGGUCACUUGAGUGCAUCUUUCCCCCUUAAUUGCUCUGUGAAUUUCUUACAUUUCAGAGGCCCUACCCCCUCUCCUACUUCUUUCUGUUGUACCUUAUGUCUCUCCUGGACACUGUGGCUUAUCCUUCCCAGACUUGCUUCAGGACACAUUCAUCUACCCCUCUUCUUGUGCCCCGGAUCUGAACUCAGCAAGCUUUAGUAAAUGCUAUGUGGCAAGCUGUAGAUUGAGUACGGUCUGUGCUCACCAAUGAAGCUGGGGUUUAUUCUGUAUGCUUGAGGUGUGGUGGACUGGUGAGACACAAUUAACAAGAAAUCUAUUUGUGUGGGGGACCUAUCAGUGUCUUGGGAGAGGGUUCAUUUUUUGAGGUGAGGGUGUCAGGAAUCAACAGAAGUGAACAUUUAGAACCAAAUAUCCAGAAUUCACCUGAGGAGGCACUGGGCGGUGAGGGUGGGGGAGAAUUUCUGUGUAAAACACUUCAUUGGUGGACAUAUGUAUUUAGGGCUUGGGUGAUCAAGAUAAAUGUCAUUCAUAUAUAAACUGCCCUGUAGAAAAUAGAUAGCUCGUGAGAAGUUGCUAUAUAACACAGGGAGCUCAGCCUGGUGCUCUGUGAUGACCUCGAGUGGUGGAAUAAUAAUAAUAAAAAUAUAUAUAUUACACAUAUGCUGAUUCAUGUUAUUGUACGGCAGAAACCAACACAACAUUGUAAAGCAAUUAUUCUCCAAUUAAAAAUAGAGUAAGAAAAAGAUAAACGUGAUUUAGCAGUGACACUGGAGUUCACACUUCACUAAAUAGUACACACUGGGCUUCCUUCCUGCGCUGCCCUCAACUGUUCCCUUCUUUGCCAACAGAAAUCUCUGUGGGGGGGGGGGUUGUCAAAUCCUUCUGGGGAUCUGGUGGUUCUAAUUGUGGAAAAGAGCUAGCAGCACUUAGAACUCAAGGAUGGAAUUCCUAUUUGCAACAGACACAAUCCCGAUUACAUUUGUUUCUCAUGCAUGCAUGCAUCUAGACAGACCCUGCAUAUCCAUGACUAUACAUCUACCCACGUAUAUCUCUUCCUGUGUUGGGAUUGUUGUAGCAUUGGUCAUUCUUGCAGCCUGAUCAACUCUGGGAAACUUCCAGGUUAGCUGCAGUUUUAAUGGAAUGCUUCCAUUUCAUUUCUGUUGUUCUUUUAUAUGUUGGAGUUUGAUAGAAAUUCCGAGCAUUAUUUACCAGGUCUCUGGCUUCCCAGGGUCUAUUUAAAUCUCUCCCAUGCUUAGUUGCUCUUCAGAGGACAUAGGGUCUCUAUGGGCUGUAAUGAGUGAGUUUGCUUCAGGACGCAUCUAUUCUUUGGUACCUGUUUCCUAAGAUGCCUUGCUCAGGUUUGUGAAAAAACAAACAGAAAAACAAAACACCAGUCUUGAUAGUAUUGUUCUGUUGGUGCUGAACACUAUUUUCUCACAGAUACAGACUUCAGGCUUCACUGUACUUCAUUUCUAGCCUUACCUUCUACCCUUUAAAUCUCACUUCUAAUCAGUCAUUUGGCAUAAACUCAAUAGUUGGCUUGACUUGCCGGCUCGUUGUUAACAGUGACUAAGGCACCUUAUAAUGUCAGUUGCACCUGUUACAAAUGUCUUAGCUCAGUUCAUACUUGGAUGAUUUUGUAUCUGUGGAGCGCCUGAUGUUUGGGUGCUACAGGUCAGUGCCCAACAGCCAGUGUUGCACUGUGGUGUGUGGUGGGAUUUGAGCACCAUCUGUGUUCACCAGUGGAAUUCAAGGCUGUUGUGCAUGCAUGGUUGAUGGGUAGGGUGGGUCAAACAGAAGCCCUCUCUGGUUUAUUGGCUACUUUUGGAUGGCUGACUGCUUGAAUGCUUUUUAACUUGUCUUCUUCCCUAGAUUUGUUCAUUUCUUUCUGUGGUCUCUGAUUCUGGGAGUCAUGCCCCGUCUUGGGACCUCUGAACACUUAGAGCUCCAAGCCCUUUUCUUCUCAUGGUCAGAAUAGAAAGUGGUAGUGAAGUGAGAACUGGGAGAGGAGUGCCUCUGAGUGUUCCCUGGGCUUUGGUCUGACUGUUGAUCAAGCCGUGGGGUGCCCUUCUGAUGGGAAGUUUCAUGCUAAGUAGCCAUAGAUGUAGGAGAAGGCAAUGGCACCCCACUCCAGUACUCUUGCCUGGAAAAUCCCAUGGACGGAGAAGCCUGGUGGGCUGCAGUCCAUGGGGUCGCUAAGAGUUGGACACGACUGAGCGACUUCACUUUCACUUUUCACUUUCAUGCAUUGGAGAAGGAAAUGGCAACCCACUCCAGUGUUCUUGCCUGGAGAAUCCCAGGGACAGGGGAGCCUGGUGGGCUGCCGUCUAUGGGAUCGCACAGAGUCAGACAUGACUGAAGCAACUUAGCAGCAGCAGCCAUAGAUGUAUCUUCCUCACAAUAGUUCCCUCUGAAACAUCCCACAACACACUGUUUAGAUUACUUCCUGCUCUAGCUAACAGGUUUAGUAAGACAUAUCCCAGAUACAGUCUCCCAGUCUCUUUGUGACUCAUUUUGGACUAAUGUGGCCAUAGUAUCAAGGCUCAUCAUUUGUCCUGGCAUCAUGGAUGUGUGUGUGUGUGUGUGUGUGUGUGUGUGUGUGUGUGGUCUGCAGUAAUUACAGUGUAUGCCACCUGCUAUAUCCCAGAAGCCUGCUGGGUAACAUAAGAAUAUUUUUGCAUUUGUGGGAUGCUUUUCAAAACUGGCAUUUAUUUCAGCAGUUUCUCCUCCCUCUCUCAGGGUCAAUGGGCACAUCUGUGGAGACCACACACCUUGUCUCCUGGUGCUGGAGGCAAUUAGUGAGGACACCUGGUUUCUUCCCAUUCAGUACAGAGAGAGAGAGAGGCACAAGGGUUGUGGGCUCAGCAGAGAGCAUCUGAAGCUCAUGGCGAUGUUUCAGCAAGUGUGCUGGGAGGACAUAUGCUUGGAGUUAUUUUUCCAGGGUUGGGAAUGGAGCCAGAAGUACUUUAUUUCAUUCAUUCCUUUGUUUAACAUGAUUUAAGUUGCUAAUGUGUGUCAUUCCUGGUUUUGAGAGCUGUGGGGGUAGGGAAGACAGAUUUUUAUAAAACAUCCCUGCUCUUAAGUCUGGGAACACACCCACACCUCAGAGUAAAAUAAUGACGUGAGAGAGGGACACACAACCCCAGAUGCUCAUUAGGCUGGGGGCAGGGGGCUGUAAGUCUGAAAAACUGACCCCCAGCUACUGCCAGGAUAGAAUCUCCAGCUCAUGAUAGAGUAUUCAUUCACAAGACUAACUGGUCUACCUGAGAGCUGAAAUCUGCUCAAAAGAAAAGAGCUGCUCCUGGCUUAUACUGAAUGGAAUGGAGAAAAUGGGGGCCCAUUUGUUUUGCAUCAGUGUUACAAGAUCCAGACAUGCUUUGUCAAAUGCCUUUUGAAUGUUUUCCUAUAGUUUCUGAGGGUCUGGCUCCAAAAGAGAUGCAUUUGCUGCAAAUAAACAUUUUUUUUUUUUCAGAAAUAAAAGCAAUAGAUCUGUGUACUCUGUGUCCAAUGACUCCACCUUUGGAGGGAUUUGAAAGAGGCCCCAGCUCUACCCAGAUUGCACCUGGCGGGGAUACUAACAGGUGGGGAGGUGUCAGGAAGGAGAGACUUACUCAGAGGACUGAAUUGAAAUCUAUUAUUGAUUCGUGAGGGCUUCCCUGGUGGCUCAGCCAUGAAGAAUCCGCCUGCAGUGCAGGAGCCACAGGAGAUGUGUGUUCGAUCACUGGGUUGGGGAGAUCCCCUGGAGGAGGAGAUGGCCACCCACUCUAGUAUUCUUGCUUGGAGAAUCCUAUGGACAGGGGAACCUGGUGGGCUACAAGUCCAUAGGGUCACAAACCUCCAGUUGGACACAACUGAAGUGACUCAGCACUCAGCGCCCAUUGAUUCAAAAAGACAUGUUUGUCUGGUGUGAGAGGCAAUGGUCUCUCACUGAACCUCAGCUCAGGUUGAGUCACACCAGGUGAUCAGGAAAAAGUAACUUCAAUUUGGGGCCUUUUCCACUGGCCCUCAUGCUCCAUCAGAGGGAGGAGGAUAUUUGAAAAAUAGGAAAGAAAAGAGACCAAUUGUAUGGACUGUGGCUUUGAUGGAUCCAAGUGUCAUAGAAGAGGAAGCGAAGAAUCUCCCCUUCCCCAACUGGAGGUGGAUCUCGAAGGGGUACCUGGUUUGUGAUCUUUUAUUCAUGCUCAUAAUCUGUUUGGCUCUAUCUUUGGGAAAUUACUUCUAUUCAGUACACUUAAUUGCUUAAAUUGCUGUGGGUUUUCUGCAUUUUAAAAAUCUGGGAAGAAAUAUGUGGAAGGAUGACAGUAAAAUAUGUAUCAGGUGAAAAUAAUUUUCACACAUCCCCAAACCCAGGUUCAUCCUUGUAAAUACUGAAUCUAGUGGCCCAGGAAAUAGCUGAGAGGCUGUUAAUUUUUUGCUUGCCCACGAACAGAAAAUAAAAGAAAUAAUCACAGUGAUGAAUUUUUGAACACCUACAAUACAUCAGGCACUCAGGAUUUGACAUCAAAUUCAGAAGACAAAGACGAACAAAUCUGUGUUUCUGUUCCUGUCGACUCUGAGUCCAAGGGCCUAAUCUCUGUGACCACUUACAGUGCUCAUUGAAGCCCAUCCAGCUAAGUUAGAAGAAAGUUCCAGAAAGAUCUCCCCUCACCACCCCCCUUCCUGCCUUGAGGAGAAUCCUGUAAUACCUUUAAUUUUUUAUUUAUGGCUGAAACAGAGAGGUUCUGAGGACCUCAUUCCAGCAAGCCAGCAAAAUUGGCACUGACCCUCAAACCUGAGAAUGUUGGAGCUGCCUAAUAGCAGAGAAGUGACUGCAACAGCUUCCAAGGAGGCCUUUGAAUCUUGGCUCUGCUCCCUACUUGGGGCACUCGGCUGUUUCUAACUGUGCAUCCAAGGGCAUGUUCCCUUUUUUAUUUACACUUGGCUUUCCUUGAUCCUGCUGACCUCUUUGCAGACAACAUCUGUAUUGCUUGUUACAACAAAUCAGAACAGUGACCUGCUCAGUCAUUCACAAAGUUUUAUCAGUUGCCUGUGGUAGAUGCAUCACUGCAGAAGGGGCUUAAAGCAAAUGCUCUGAGCUCAGAUGUCCAGCCUCCCUUAGCCUUGGCAUCACCUGGAACAGGGGGUCCAAAAACCUGUAGACCACAUACUCAUAAUUCUGUUCCCACCUAGUUGGUUGUUAAUGAAGCCCCCUUGACCUUUGGAGAAGUUCUGCCUCUGAGGGGCAUUUGGAAAUGAAUGAAGGGCCCCUGUUUGAUCCAGUGACGUGGUCAAAAGGAGGAGCAUGGAUCCUGUACCUGAGUCAUUGUUCUAUGUGUCCCAUUGUCCCAUGUCCUAAGUGAAUUGUAAAUAUUUCAAUGAAUGUUGAUGUAGAUGAAAAACCUUUUGAUAAUUUGUUGUGCCUAGAUCUUAGCUGUUCUCCAUAUGACCCAAUGUGCUGUGCAUAACUCUGAUCUGUACUGACUUUCCCAGGGAUUCUCUAUAUCUCCUAUGUAAAAUUGAGAAAAGGUUGCACUUUAUGAUGUUCAAAAAUUGACCAGGAACUAUUCACAUCCUUCCCAUCAUGGGAAAAUCAUUAUCACCAAUGGCAACGCCUCUCAUGGUCUUAGAAUUGCCCUAACACACCUGUAAGCAAUCUGUGCCCCAGCUCUCUUAUUCCCAGUGAGUCUAUGUAAAGACGCAAGCAUCUGGCCAUUUCACUGUCUUCUAGUUAGUCAUCCUCUUGAGCAUUUACAGAUUGAAAGAAGUGCUAUUUUGUACAUUCUUCCCUGUGUAUUUUUCCACGACAUUCUAGUUAGUGCGUUGUAUGAGCGUUUGCCUUUGCAUGUUUUUGGAGAAGGAAAUGACAACCCAGUUUCUUGCCUGGAAAAUUGCAAGGACAGAGGAGUCUAAUGGGCUACAGUCCAUGGGUGGCAAAGACAGACUCGACUGAGCAACUGAGCACUUUGCAUGGUUUAAAUUGCUGCUGCUUUUUUUCCCCUAAGAAAGCAAUUCUAUUGUAAAAUGAAGUCAACGUGUACUUUGUUUUGCUCAGAACCUUUACCAGGAAUUGCUCACCAUUUUGAAAAACAAACUCACUGAUAAGAACAGCGCUCAGAGAAUAUGUCAUAAAUAAAAACACUUGAAUCAGCCUGUAUUUUUAGGUGUCACCUUCAUGAUGAUGAUUGUUUCAGAUCUGGGUAUGAGCAUCUCAUGUCUUUAUGUCUUCCAGUGCAGGCAUGAUCCCUUACAUAUUGAGUUAUGUAUUUUAUUGUGGAUUAUUUACUUUAACCUCUCUGUUUACUUACAGUUCAGUUCAGUUCAGUUCAGUCGCUCAGUCGUGUCUGACUCUUUGCAACCCCAUGAAUUGCAGCACACCACGCCUCCCUGUCCAUCACCAACUCCCGGAGUUUACUCAGACUCAUGUCCAUCAAGUCGGUGAUGCCAUCCAGACAUCUCAUCCUCUGUCAUCCACUUUUCCUCCUCCCCCCAAUCCCUCCCAACAUCAGAGUAUUUUCCAAUGAGUCAACUCUUCGCAUAAGGUGGCCAAAGUACUGGAGGUUCAGCUUUAGCAUCAUUCCUUCCAAAAGAACACCCAGGGCUGAUCUCCUUUAGAAUGGACUGGUUGGAUCUCCUUGCAGUCCAAGUGACUCUCAAGAGUCCUACUUAUGGUUAGGAGUAUAUAUUUCUCUUGUUAAAAAAAAAAUGAUGCUAUCUUUUUGAAGGUAGAUUUAAAAAUUCUUCUUAUUAGCUUUAAUGCAGUUUCACUGUGAUAUGUCUAGGUACAGACUUAUUGGGUUGGCCAUAAAGUUCAUUCUUUGGGAUUAGAAUGAAAACUGACCUUUUCCAGUCCUGUGGCCACUGCUGAGUUUUCCAGAUUUGCUAGUGUAUUGAGUGCAGCACUUUAACAGCAUCAUCUUUUAGGAUUUGAAAUAGCUCAGCUAGAAUUCCAUGGCCUCCACUAGAGAAACUACUGAACAAUUGCACUCGUUUCACAUGAUAGCAAAGUAAUGCUCCAAAUUCUCCAAGCAAGGGUUCAACAGUACAUGAACCAAGAACUUCCAGAUGUUAAAGCUGGAUUUAGAAAAGGCAGAGGAACAAGAGACCAUAUUGCCAACAUCCACUGGAUCAUAGAAAAAGCAAGAGAAUUCCAGAAAUACAUCAUCUUCUGCUACACUGACUAUGCUAAAGCCUUUGACAUGUGGAUCACAACAAACUGGAAAAUUCUUAAAGUGAUAGGAAUACCAGACCACCUCACCUGCCUCCUGAGAAUCCUGUAUGCAGGUCAAGAAACAACAGUUCAAACCAGACAUGGAACAAUAGACUGGUUCCAAAUUGGGAAAGGAGUACGUCAAGGCUGUGUAUUAUCACCCUGCUUAUUUAACUUAUAUGCAGAGUACAUCAUGCAAAAUGCUAGGCUCGAUGAAGCACAAACUGGAAGCAAGAUUGAGGGGAGAAAUAUCAAUAACCUCAGAUAUGCAGAUGGCAGAAAGUGAAGAGGAACUAAAGAGCCCCUUGAUGAAGGUGAAAGAGGAGAGUGAAAAAGCUGGCUUAAAACUCAACAUUCAGAAAACUAAGAUCAUGGCAUUUGGGCCCAUCACUUCAGGGCAAAUAGAUGGGGAAACAAUGGUAACAGUGACAGACUUUAUUCUCUUAUGCUCCAAAAUCACUGCAGAUAGUGACUGCAGCCCUGAAAUUAAAAGACACUUGCUCCUUGAAGGGAGAAGGAAAUGGCAACACCCACUCCAGUAUUCUUGCUUGGAGAAUCCCAGGGACAGAGGAGCCUGGUGGGCUGCCGUCUGUGGGGUUGCACAGAGUCGGACACAACUGAUGUGACUUAGCAGCAGCAGCAGCAACUCCUUGGAAGAAAUGCUAUGACCAACCUAGACAGCAUAUUAAAAAACAGAGACAUUACUUUGCCAACAAAGCUCCAUAUAGUCAAAGCCAUGGUUUUUCCAGUUGUCAUGUAUGAAUGUGAGAGUUUGAGCAAAAAGGAGGCUGAGCACCGAAGAAUUGCUGCUUGUACGUGAGUUUGAACAGGCUCCAAGAGAUGGUGAAGGACGGGGAGGCCUGACAUGCUAUAGUCUGUGGGGUCUCAAAGAGUUGGACACAGCUGGGGGACUGAACAACAACAAAUAAAUUUCAUUUGGGUUUUUCCAUAGAGGUGUUAUGAAGAAACCCAAAUGAGCAUUUUGGCUAACCCAAUAUUUUUAUUUUUCCCCUCCUGAUUAAGUGGAGGGCAGGGAAACUUUAUUCUCAAGAUUUCUGUCUUUCUCUAAUUCUGGAAAAUUCUCAGCUUUCAAAUAUUGUUGCUGAGCCAUUCCCUCCAUCUUUUCUUCUGGAAGAAUCUUUUAACCCAUGUGUGUGCCUCUUACUUUUACUCUGUCUUUCCUAAUGGAUCUUCCCUACACCUUUUUCUCUCUGCACAGCUUUGAGAUAACCUCUCAGCACCAUCUUCUCCUUCAGUAACUUGCGUUCGUCUGUUUCAGGCUGGAUUUUAUCUCAUUUAUUACUUUAAAAAUUCAUUUAUAUCCAUUAUUGUAAAUUUUCAUUUUUAAAACUUCUCACCCAUUCAUUUUCACAUCUUUUUCUUAUUUCAUUUUUGCCUUUUACUAUAGAUUUUGGCUCAUUUAAUGGGUAUUCUUUCAUUAAUCCACCUAAACAUAGUUAUUGUCUUGCUUCAACAAAGGGGUAUAGGUCAUUUUUUUUUUUUUUUGGUCUCAAUGGCUCCUUAAGUUUGUUUUCUUCUCUAGUAUUAUAUUUCUUUACCUAGUUGGAAUAUUUUUUUCAAAAAUUAUUUAUUUACUUUAAUUGAAGGAUAAUCAGUUUACAAUGUUGUGAUGUUUUUUUGCCAUAUAUAAAUAUGAAUCGGCCAUAGGUAGACAUGUGUCUCCUCUAUCUUGAAACCCCUCCCAACUCCGUCCCCAAGGUUUAUAGCUUCCUUUUGAAAGGAGAUCUUAUUCAUUCUUUGUUAUUCUCUCUCUUUUCUCCUGCUAACGCUCACUCCUGUCUGAGUGGUUAUGUGGUAACCAUCCCCAAAGCCUAAUCUUAGCCUGAACAGAUCCUGUAAGGGUGAUGCUUAUUUCCAGCCCAGUUGUACAAUCAGGGAAAUUAUUAGCCUUAUUCCUAAGCUGGUGGCUGUCUUGCUUAGUUUCUGAUCUUGCAUGUGUAUUACUAUACCUCCUGUAGCAUUUGGGAGGCAGUUCCCUUUCUCAAGUGAUGAGGCUGUGUGUUGCAGGGCAUGUGGGGGGCAGUCUACCCUUUAGCUUUAAAUGUGAGUUUGCUUCUAGCUCUCUGUUGUCCCAGAGGCACUGAACUCCUGGUUACCAUUGCCUUAGUCUGGGUGUGUGACUUCAGAACUGUUGUUUUGGAAUUGCUGUUGUUUCUCAUCCAUGAAGACAUUUACUUGUUUCUGAGCCCAGUGCUGUUUUUGUGUUGUUUUAAGUAGAUCACUGCUGCAUGUUUGACAUUACCAGGGUUGUAUUGUCAAGUGUGAACUUGCUGAGCUAUUUUGAUUGAAAGUUUCUUCCUUCCAUUAAACAGAAGUCACAUGCCAGUGGGAUACUUCUGAACUUCUAGAAGCUGCUGGCGUAUAUUCUCAGGUCAGAGCUUCAGGAAUGUUUGUCUUUACCCUCUCUGAAUAGCAGAGUCCCAUAUGCAUGACUAAGUCAGACCUUGCCUGUCUCUCCAUGCAGGAGACUUUCCAAGGUGAGUUGAUGCCUAUGGAUGCCUCUCAGUGCACUUCACACAUGUAAAAAUCUUCUCUGGUAUAUUUCCCUCUCUUGCUGGAGCACAAAGGGCACAAUUGACACAUGUAGUCUUAGUUUCAGAAGGAAACUCAGAGAUGUCUAAAUCCAGCCUCCCUUCCCCCAUGGGCAUACACAUUAGUGAUUCUUGGAAAGGCAAUUGGAUUUUUCAAAACCCACUGAAUGGUUGCCCAAGGCAAUCUUGAUAGAUCCUAAGAGCAAUAUGACCCUUGCUGACAUCUGCACAGUUAGAAAGUUUUCUUACUAUCAAGUCCAAAUUGACCUCCUUGUAACUGACACCAUAAUGACACAAAUGAUACUUCUGACAUGAUAGCUGUUCAGACGUGGAAAGACAUUCAGUUUUAUGCUCUGAGUUUUCUCUUCUUGGGGCUGCUGCUGCUGCUAAGUCGCUUCAGUCAUGUCCGACUCUGUGCAACCCCAUAGACGGCAGCCCACCAGGCUCCCCCAUCCCUGGGAUUCUCCAGGCAAGAACACUGGAGUGGAUUGCCAUUUCCUUUUCCAAUGCAUGAAAGUGAAAAGCGAAAGUGAAGUCACUGAGUCGUGUCCAACUCUCAGUGACCCCAUGGACUGCAGCCCACCAGGCUCCUCUGUCCAUGGGAUUUUCCAGGCAAGAGUACUAGAGUGGGGUGCCAUUGCCUUCUCCACUUCUCGGGGCUAACUCCUCCUAUUUCCUAUAGCACUCUUGCCUGUAACACAGAUAUCUCAUUAUUCUAUGGCCACCUAUUGAUAAGUGUGUGUUUUCUCGGCCAUUUAUUUGGACUAGAGUUCUUAUGUAAAGGAACUGGCAACUCUAUAAUUUUCAAAAGAUAUAAGAGGAGGGUCUAGUUUGGUUUCUUGGUCCCCAGCUCCCCUCAGCUGUGAAAAGGAUUCAGUUGGCUCUCAUGGUCUAAUUGGAUGCUGUGAUUACAUUUACUUACAGCAUGGGUAAUGUAGCCCAGGCUUCCCCCAGGUCUGUGUCUGAAUCCUAAGUUUCUGCCUUGGGAUGUUAAACAAUACAAGGCAGAUCUGCUAUCCUGCUUUUAUCUCUUGUAGCCUGGGAAUGGUUACUUGCAAACCACUUCUGCAGACAGGGUAAUGGCGUAUUGAUUGCUGAACAGGUGGUAGGGGUGCAGCUUUUAGAUAUAAGUUUUAGAUAUAAUUCCGUUUUCUGCCUUUCGGCUUGUUGCCGGAAGGUGUUUCAUGCAAUAAUCUUAGUGUGGGAUAAUUCUGAUUUCAGUGCUUGCAGUAGUUUUGAGUUUCAUUUCCUCCUCCUCCCCCCUCCUUUUCCUCCUUCUCGUUCUUCUUCUUCUGCCUCUGGAACAGAUUGACAUGGUACAUUGGGGCCAUGUGAGAAUUAGGUAAAGAAAAGCUGGUCUGAAUUGUCAAACUGAGGCUCUGGAAAAAAUAGAUUCUCAUUCAGCUGAACUAAGUGAGCCUGUGUACUGAAUGUUUUAGGGAAAUGAUUUCCAAAGAUUGCUUCAUGGAAUGCUGUAACUUUGUGGAAUGCUCUGGGGAUAAAGGGCUCCAUGAUCGUAUAUUUGAGCAUGAUAUAUAUAUAUAUAUAUAUAUAUAUAUAUAUAAUGUGCCUCCCUCUUGGGGAGAACUUUUCAUCUGAUGAUGUGGCAGACUGUGAGACUUUCAGCAGUAAAGCAGUCUUUUCAACUUGCAUUAAUGUAACAUUGACCAUGCUUAUUUGUUCAUGGAACUGCAUGUAAAGAAAACCAUUCCCAUUAACAUCCUGGAGAACUGGCCUUCUGUUUGACAUACAAUAGGAAGUGCUUUCGCUAAGCAAUGUGGCGUCCUCAUGAAUAUGCUUCUUGCUUUCACUCACAAAUGCACCAGAUCCUAUCAUGUGCCUCUGCUGUCCAAGAGACAUUUUCUUGCCUCUCAUUGGGGAAUUAAUUUGAGAAUUCAUUCCACAGGGAAUAUCACCAACCCCAUAGCAGUGUGGUCCCCGAGUGAGAUGGCACUGAUGUUUGUUUCAGGAGAUGGGGAAGAACAGGAAGGAAAGAUAGCAUCAAGAUUAGGUGAAGUUAAUCAUCAUGCUGUAUUAGAGAGGUUUUGAGUGAAAAUUUAUGAAAAUAGCUAAUGUGGGUCACUAGAAAAGAGCGUAUGAGCCAGAGGAAGGCAGUUCGGCAAAGACAAGGUGAAAGGGAUUCAGGACUAAAAGCAUGUGGACAGCAAAUAUGCUCAUGUCUUGGCUGAUGCAUGAGGGAGAUUGCUGGCAGAGAUGGAGAACUCAGAGGACAAUUAAUGAAGGGCACUCAGUCCAAACUGCAGAGUUUGAAGUAGACAUGAGUGAUGUUAGGGACGCCCAUAAAGAUCUGCAGGGAGGAAAUAGGAUGCAAAUAAUUUUCAUGGACCAAGACCCCUUUGUCCGCUGUCAGAUGUAUUUGAGAUGAUUCCUGGCCUGAGUCCCUUGGGCUGUAAGGAGAUCAAACUGGUCAAUCCUAAAGGAAAUCAACCCUGAUUAUUCACUGGAAGAACUGAUGCUGAAGCUCCAAUACUUUGGCCACCUGAUGUGAAGAGCUGACUUAUGGGAAAAGACUGGGAAAUGCUGAGGCCAGGAGGAAAAGGGGGCAACAGAGGAUGAGAUGAAUAGCAUCACUGACUCAAUGGACAUGAAUUGGAGCAAACUCCGGGAGCCAGUGAAAGAUAGGGAAGCCUGGUGUGCUGCAGUCUGUGGAGUCGCAAAGAGCUGGACAUGACUUGAACAACAACAACCUGGUCUGAGUGGAGGCUGCAGGGGCAUGAAGGGGGUAGUCUGAGAGAGGAACUUGAUGAUUAUGAGAUGUAGAUGGAAGAAUCUGGUUCAGCUUGACUGCUAGGAUUAUGGUGACUGAGAUCCAGGUGUUGCUGAAAGGUACACUUCUACUUGGGUCUCAUAAAAAUUGGUUUCCUCUCCCUCUUAGAAGCAACACUGUAGUUGUCAAUGAAGUUCUUAGCUGGAAACUACCCAACAGCCAUCCAGUCAUUAGGAGAUAAAAACUAUUGAUCAUUAUUUGUCUAUUGCUCAUUGGAACCAGCAGGCCUCCAGCUAAUAUCUUUAUCUACUUCAGGCUGUCAGCCUAUUGACUUUAUUUAUUUAUUUAUUUUUUAAAGAACCCAGUUGAUGGGAGUGUGUGGUGAAGAAGAAAUUAUUUUUAACCAAAUGAUGAGAAAUUUGAUCAUAAACCAUCUGUAGAAGAACAUGGAAAAUUUGUGUUGAUCCUUUCCCUGUCGCGUCAAGUAUCAGGGGUUGGAAGGUCUGUCCUUUCUGUUUCUGUUAUGAUCCUUCACUUGAGAAAAACCUCAAACACAAAGGAAGUAAGAAUAAAGAAGCAAGGUCCAGCAAGUAACCCAAAACUGCCCACAUGAUCUCCCUGACCUUUGUUUACUCAUCUCGGCAAGAAGUUAGCUGGCAUCGGACUUUCAACUUUACUUGCUUGACUCAGGCUGUGUGCUGGGCUCAUUCUAAGCUUCUUCUCCUUGGGUCAUGGAUGGGGGACUCUCUCAGAGCAGUAAACUGGGGCACUUCUGAGUCUCUUCUCAUUUGUAUCUUCUCUUUCAGGGAUCGUCAUCCUUCAUUCUCUGAUGCACUGAGUCCUGAAAACUAUUGCUUCAUAUAUGUUGCUAGUUUUUCUUUGGUUUCAGGUGGGAGGAUAAAGAGUCGGACACAACUUAGUAACCGAACAUAACAGGAGGUAAAUCUGGUUCCUCUUCCUCCAUCUUGGGCAAAGCAGAAAAUUCCACAUUGUCAUUUUAAUGUGGAUUCUGCAGGCUUCGUGUUGGAUUCAAAGUGUAAUCCUUUCAAGAGAGUCUCUGUUGUGGACUGGAGGAAUGAAAACAUCAAGGCUAUGGGACAUAUACUACAUAUUUCUCUUCAUAAAGAUUCAGCCCAUAUACUAGAACCUCACAGAUACUUGUAUGUGAUGGUGGAACCCACUCUCCAGAAAGAGAAGGUGAUUUGCGCAAUGGAGUUUUUGUUAUAUUGUAUUUAGUCUCCAUUCCACUUAUAUCUUUUUGUAAGUGAGACUAAGUGUAGGGCCAUGGAAUCCUCCAUUUUAUACUUAUCAAAUAAAUAAUGCUAUACUAAAGGCAAAGAAAUUGGAGAGAAGAAAGGACAUCCCAUGCUUAAAGAACCACAUAGUCAAUCUUAGACUCUGGAGGGUUCUCAAGAGUAGAAACCUGCCUCAAGGUGAGUAAAAUCUAUAUCUUCUGCACUUUAUAAACUCUGCCAACACUGACUGUUAAGUAACUUAUCCAGGGUCAUGUAAAAAGUAACCCUAGUUCUCUCCCUGUAAUAGACACCUGCGUUUCCAACGAUUCUUUCUGUAGUGUUCCUCUCUUGCUCUUCGCUGACUCUGGGGUGGUUUCCUACCCCUGCCCCCCACCCCCAGCUCCGCUAGUCUCCUCCCUAGCUGGUAGCAUGUCAUCUAAAUCCUUUCAGCAUAUUAUGCCUCUCUGCAUGCUAAGCUGCUUCAGUUGUGUCUGACUCUUUGAUGAGACCCUGUGGACUGUAGCCCCUUGGGCUCCUCUGUCCAUGAGAUUCUCCAGGCAAGAAUACUGAAUACUGGAGUGGGUUGCCAUGCCCUCCUUCAGGGGAUCGAACCCACAUCUCCUGUGACUCCUGCAGUGCAGGCAGAUUCCUUACCACUGAGCCGUUGGGGAAGCCUCUCUAGAUGGAGGCAAAACAUACUUCCCUCUGACGCUUCUCUUGGGAAGCUUUAAUGCUACACAAUUAACAGUUUCCCUGUCCCUUUUCUGUCCCCUUGUGGUCCUGGCCUCUGACGGUGGAUGGAUGGCUGUAUCAUCACACUCCCUCCACGUCAUUUGUCACAUCCUGGCACCGUGACAACAGCUUCUCUGUUUCUAGAAGGCCUGCAGCUAGAAUGUCAGGCAGGGAAACUAAAUAACUUUUCACCCUUAGGACGUACUUCCUUCUUCAGAGGCUGCAGGCCACUGAGAGCUGGUGUGAGGCCAUUGAGCUGCUGAAGCAUGGCGCAUUUCUACUAGUCUGGAAACUGACUGUGAAGACUUUAUUCUGACUGUGCCAGGUCCUAGAAAAUUGCUUUGAAAAAAUGACCAGGAAGCCUUGUGGACAAUGGGAUCUUUCUUCUUUUCUAAAGCAAUGAGCUACAGUGCUCUGGCAUCUUUCAGAGAGGUGGUGUCUGCUAAUAGGGAAUUAUGUCUAACCAAGAGCAACUAUAAUUAACAGGGCAAAGAAAAUAAAUAUUGAGGAUAAAAAUAACAAUAUUAAGAGCAAACUUUUUUUUAUAGGGGUCACUGUAAGUCAGGGAUGUUCUAAGUUCUUUAGAUAUAUUAACUUCUUGAACAAUCUUUUGAAAUAUAUAUUAUUAUUAUCCCUGUGGUACUGCUGGGGGUUUCCCAGGUGGUGCUAGUGGAAAAGAACCCACCUGCCAAUGAAGGAUGUGUAAGAGACAUGGGUUCAAUCCCUGAGUAGGGAAGAUCCCCUGGAGAAGGGCAUGGCAACCCACUCCAGUAUUCUUGUCUGGAGAAUCCCAUGGACAGAGGAACCUGAAGGGCUGUUGUCCAUAGGGUUGCAAAGAGUCAGACAUGACUAAGCAACUUAGCACAUGCAUACAUGGUACUGGUGAGAGAAGUUAAGUAACUUACUGCAAAUCACUGAGAGAGCCAGUUGUGGAGCUUGGAGUUAAACCCUAAUAUUCUGACUCAAGUCUGUGCUCUGAAUCUCAUUGAUCUUCAGCCUCUGAUUGUGAAAUUCCUCUUCUUCAUCAAAUCACAACGUGGAGAGACAUGAGACGAGCCGAGUGUGGAGAUCAGCACACAAUAAAGAGGAGAAAUACCUUUGUCCCCAGAAUGAAGUGGAUGCUCAGUAGGUGGUACAGAUUUGAUCCGAUGGAAAUUUCUGUGGACUUCUCGCUCAGUCUCCUUUGAUUUACAUUCAUUACAUAACCAAUUCUGAGAGCUGGUGAAACUGUGAGCAGAAGUAAUAUGGACCAAGGCGGUUAAAUAAUCGUGUGAUUUCCUAUGCUCCCUUUCCACCAUCUGCUAGCUUGUGGACAAACUUGAAGGGCAAUCUGAAACUCAUGAUAAGUGAGAAGCAAAAGGGAUGAGCAACCUGGGGCCCUGAAUCACUAUGUGGAAGAGAGGAGAGUGGGUCAAAAGCACCACCAAUCUCCACAGAACUUGAAGUGGGUUAGAGAUAAACUUAUACUGUGUGGUUAAGUUGUUGAGAUUUCAGGGAUCAUUUGUUACUGCAGCAAAAAUGAACCUCCCCUGAUCAAUACAUAGGCUUGCCUGUCUCAGCUUGCCCUGUGGCCUUUUCUGCUCACUGGCUCUUUCCCUUGGGAAAAAAAAGACUGUUCAGGUUUUGAGAGAUGUUGUCUGAGCAGAUGGAAGGAUCCAUUUCUGCUGGGUGAAGUACAGUCUUUUUCCAGCCUCAGUAUCCCCCUCCAUAGGAGACAAACAUACAAGGAUAGGUGAGGGAAAGAAUGUUAGUUUUUUACUGUAGAAGUUAAGGGAGGGAUAUUGUGUUUUCUCUAAGGUUCUUGAACCUCUCUAAGUCUGUGGUUUAUAGUCACGUAUGGAGAUGUUACACAAAACUUUUUUGGUUGCUUGAAAUUUCAGCUGAUGCCCAAAGUCUGAGAAAAAUAUCUGCCAAGUGCACUCAUAUUUUAAACUGGUAGCCUAGCCCAUAUGUAAAGUACUUUAAAAGGAAUUGACCCCAUACUUCACUGUCAGCAUUACCUCAUCAGCCUCCUCCAGGGUAUAAAGGUGGAAGGUAGGAGGCGAGGAUUAAGGAUCCCUCUGGGGAAAGUUGUCAACAGGUGGUGAUGGGUUCCUCCCACACCCCAAGUCAGAAAGAGAAGUGCAAUCUCUCUCUCUCAUCAAGGGGGCUGCUCAGAAGCCUUACUUGUGUUCUCAGGCUUUUAGUGGACACAGAGGCUGGACUUUGUUGGUCAGCUUGCAGCAGAGAGGGAAGAAGCAGAACUGCCCUGGGAAUAGCCUGGCCUUCUGGGCUGUAGCCAGGCUUGUAGAGUGGAGGAUGCUCUGAGGAAGAUAGUGGCUCAGGGUCCAGCUGCCCAUGAGACCCUCUGGAGAGAUGAGGGGUUGAGUGGGGGACUGCAAGGUGCCAGGGACUGAGGGAGGGCUGUGGGCCAUAGGAAGCAUUGUUUUGGCAAGAAAUGCAAGAUGGGGGUUCUUAUAAAAGCGCCCCAUAAAGAAAAUAAUUAAUGUUGGAUGACAUUCCCUGGGUUCCAAGAGCACUAAUGCUGGAUUUUUUCUGCACCAUUCUGGAGGGCUCUCCCCACUCAGCCCUGGGAAGCCACAAGUCAGAGCUUACGGAGUGACGAGGAGGGAGCAGAAGAACAGAACACAGGCUCUGCUUCAAGAUCUCCUGGAGAAGAUGAUGGCACCCCACUCCAGUACUCUUGUCUGGAAAAUCCCAUGGACGGAGGAGCCUGGUAGGCUGCAGUCCAUGGGGUUGCUAAGAGUAAAGACACAGUUGAGUGACUUCACUCUCUUUCUUUCUGCUUCUUCCCUCAGGCCUCCAUGACUGUGAUGGGCCUGACCACUGAAAUCAUAAAUUAAAGGAGAUUUUUACAGUUUUAAUAUUAUACAACCCUGGACUUAUAUUUAUUUAUUGGAGUCUGGGCUUCUCCAGUGACUCAGCUGUUAAGAAUGCACCUGCAGUACACGAGAUGCAGGACACGUGGGUUCAAUCCCUGGGUCAGGAAGAUCCUCUGGAGGAGGAAAUGGCAACCCACCCCAGUAUUCUUGCCUGGGAAAUUCCACGGACAGAGGAGCCUGGUGGGCUACAGUCCAUGGGGUCUCAAAGAGUCGGACAGGACUGAGCAACUAAGCACUAACAAUGAUAAUUGCUUUACAAUCUUGUGUUAGUUUCUGCUGUACGUCAGUGUGAAUCACUCAUAUGUAUACACAUUUCCCCUUGGGCCUCCCUCCUGUCCACCCCUUCCCCAUCCCACCCGUUUAGGUCAUCAUAGAGGACUGAGCUGAGCUCCCUAGCACUGGGAGCUUUCUAAUGUGAUUUUUAUUUGAAAGUUAACAAAAAACAUUAUGAAACUGUUGGAUAUUAAUUUAGGAGCAGGGAGUCAUGAUCCCAUAGCACAGGUUGAAAAGUGACCAAAAAAUUCAAUUCUUGUGGCUUGGGACCUAUUGAGUCUGGUUCAUUCAGUGAAUCAAUCACACGUGUAUAUUGUCUCACUUCCGAAAAUAUAUCCAUCCAUCAAAUUAUCAAUUUGAUACCUACCUGUCUAUCACCUGGUUGAGUGCAUGUGAUUGGUAUAUAACCUAUUUGUACUCAGACAUUAUUUAUGUGCUAUUUCCUUUGUGUGUGUCUGUGUGUCAGUUGCUCAGUUGUGUCUGACUCUUUGUGGCCCCAUGGACUGUAGCCCACCAGGCUUCUCUGUUCAUGGAAUUUUCCAGGCAAGAAUAGUGGGGUGGUUUGCCAUUGCCUACUCCAGGGGAUCUUCCCAACCCAGGGAUCGAACCCACACCUCCUGCAUCUCCUGCAGUGGCAGGCAGAUUCUUUCUUUACCACUGUACCAUCUGGGAAGCGCUGCUAUUUCCUGUGCAGAGCCUCACACGUGGGCACCGCCUUCUGGGGACUAGUUCCUUGGAGCGUCUGGUGUUUUCUGCUGCUGCUCUCAGAUUUGGAGACUCUAGCCCCCAAGAUCCAGGGGACACCCUUGUGAUGUCUCUGGAUGUCUGGAGAAGGAGAGCAUGGUGUACACAGACAGUCAGAAUUGUUCAGCGGUUGCUCCUGUACUUUUAGGACCCUUCCUGACCCUCAUCACCACUCUCUCCCACUCAGGACCCUACUGUCUCUGUGCAGCAAGGUCGCCUCUCCACGACUCCUCUCCUACAUUUUGCAUUUACAUAUUUCUAAGACCUUUCUCAAGUUUGUCACUGCCCUUAGUAUCCUCUCUUCUCCAUCGUCCAGGACUUGACCUUCUUCCAAGUCAUAUCAGAUCCUGUCUUUCUGAACUCCCCACUCCUAGCAAGUCUUUCCCACCGUCUUGUAUGAGAGUUAAUUCUGUCCUUAGUCUUACUGUGCGUGGUUUAUGUCUCUGUGGUCAUAGUUCCUAGAGCAUGUCAUUAAUGAUAGUUUUGUCUCUCUUACUUAUCUAUGAGUUCUCAGAGACAUGGCUCCCCUCAUUUCUAUAUCUUUGCUAGAACCAUAUGGGUGCUCACUAAAUAUCUGUUAAGUGGAAUUAAAUUGCAGAUGUUCACUUGUGAGGGAAUUGUAAAUAAAGAAUGUGUGAUCUAGCAAGUCAAAAAUGUAUUUUAAAGAAAGGUUGAGCUUAGGCCCUAGCAGAUGUUAAAUUCUACUGAAAUAUUUAGUGACCAGUGUGGAUCCAUAGAAAAUCCAAGUGUUCAUUUCUCUUAAUUCACCACUAAGACUGUGUGAACCUAGAGGGGUAGGUGUGUGCAUCCUGAUUAGAAAAGAAUGGGAAAGUUGGUGAUCUGGUUAAUAUCCUCCGUAACCACUCUUUUGCCACGUGAAGAAAAAAAUGAACUGAUUGGAGGACAUGAACAGAUUAGAGGCCCAGGUGAGGAAAGUGGGCCUGGUGUUAUAUAACCCUAGGUCAAAGAGGGCCCCUAAUAUUAUUCCCUGGUGGCUCAGAUGGUAAAGAAUCUGCCUGCAAUGUGGGAGACCUGGGUUUGAUCCCUGGGUUGGGAAGAUCCCCUGGAGAAGGGCAUGACAGCCAGUAUUCUUGCCUGGAGGAUCCCCAUGGACAGAAGAACCUGGUAGGCUACAGUCCAUGGGGUCACAAAGAGUCAGACACCUCUGGGCAACUAAGCAUACAUACAUACAAUAUUAUUUCAAAGGAGAGAGUCAUGAAUUCUCCCAAGUCCUGGGGCUGUGAGAACUCAAACACACAAAUAUGGUAGCUCAGUAAUGAGUCAGGGAAUGGCUUUGAGCAAAGCAGUAUUUCGAGUGACCUACUUAUCAAGGGGGGCUUCCCUGGUGGUUCAGUGGUAAAGAAUCCACCUACAAUGCAGGAGACAUGGGGUCUGGAAGAUCCCCUGGAGGAGGGCAUGGCAACCCACUCUAUGGCAACCCACUCUAGUGUUCUUACCUGGAAAAUCCCAUCAACAGAGGAGCCUGGCAGGCUAAGGUCUGUGGGGUCACAAAGAUUUGGACAUGACUGAAGCCACUGAGCACACACACUUGUAAAGGAGCCUGGUGAGCAAGAGUCCAUGGGGUUGCAGAGAGUUGGACAUGACUGCACAGUUGCUCAGUCAUGUCCGACUCUUUAUGACUGCAUGGACUGUAGCCCGCCAGGCUCUGCUGUCCAUGGAAUUGUCUAGGCAAGAAUCCUGGAGCAGGUUGCCAUUUCCUAGUCCAGAGGAUCUUCCCCACCCAGAGAUCGAACCUGCUUACCUUGUCUCCUGUAUCAGCAGGCAGAUUCUUUACCACUAUCGCCACCUGGGAAGCCCUAUCAAGGACAGUAUUUCCCCUUUACUUCCCUGGUGGCUCAGGCGGUAAAGCGUCUGUCUACAAUGAGGGAGACCUGGGUUCAAUCCCUGGGUCGGGAAGAUUCCCCUGGAGAAGGAAAUGGCAAUCCAUUCCAGUACUAUUGCCUGGAAAAUCCCAUGGACAGAGGAGCCUGGUAGGCUACAGUCCAUGGGGUCGCAAAGAGUCGGACACGACUGAGCAACUUCGCUCAGAGAGUAGGCAGCCUAAGCGAAUCUCCCAUUAAAUAUGAAAGGGGUAAUAGGUACAAAGACAACAGCAUCCAUAGCUGCUUUUGUACCCAGUUGUGCUUGGCACCAUGCUUGGGGGUGGGUAGGGCUUUGAAGGCAGAGUAGCUGGCAAUCUGCCAGGGUACAUGGCUUUAGCUUUAACAGGGUCAGGCUCUGCUGUUUUGCUUGCUAGCUGCUCCUGAUCAUUUUUUCUCUUCUGCCUUUUAUUUUUCCCCCAGACCUUUUGGUACCCAAUGAUUUUUGAUUAAUUUAUUUACCAUCGUUGGGUGAUUGAUGCUGUUUGGUGCUGGUACUUUGUAACUUUCCAAUUCUUCUAGUUGUCAAUGUGACAGCCCCCUGAUGAUUAAUUAGACCUGUCCCUUGCUCUUUUCAUUCUCCCUGUGCGCCAAGGCUCCUGGUUUUCAGCAAAUAUAAAUAUUUCUAAAUGCAGAUUUAAUGAUUGAGAACACCCAACAAAAUCCAGAAAGAUCUAUGACACUUUCACUCUCCUUUACUUUCCCACCGAAAUGUAAUGCAUUGUGCUUUUUCUCUCCCUGCUUUACUUCAGAUUUUGAGAAUCCACUUGGCUUUUGGAAUCUCCUAAGCUAUGGUUUUUCCAGUGGUCAUGUAUGGAUGUGAGAGUUGUACUGUGAAGAACGCUGAGCGCCAAAGAAUUGAUGCUUUUGAAUUGUGGUGCUGGAGAAGACUCUUGUGAGUCCCUUGGACUGCAAGGAGAUCCAACCAGUCCAUUUUAAAGGAUAUCAGCCCUGGGUGUUCUUUGGAAGGAAUGAUGCUAAAGCUGAAACUCCAGUACUUUGGCUAGCUUAUGUGAAGACUAGACUCAUUGGAAAAGACUCUGAUGCUGGGAGGGAUUGAGGGCAGGAGGAGAAGGGGACAACAGAGGAUGAGAUGGCUGGAUGGCAUCACUGACUCGAUGGACAUGAGUUUGGGUGAACUCCGGGAGUUGGUGAUGGACAGGGAGGCCUGGCAUGCAUGGGGUUGCAAAGAGUCGGACACGACUGAGCGACUGAACUGAAACGGACUGAAGCUGUUUUCCUGUUCUUCUGGCAUCUCCAUCUAUGUAUGGUUCCAGUCUCACUUUUUCAUCUUUUGUUGUCUGCUUGGUUUAUGUGAACUCGAUUUCCUCUACAUAAUGUGUAAGUUUGGGAUGGUAGUGAGAAGAGGAAUUGGUGUUUAUUAUGUCCUUUUUAUUUUUUUUGUACAAUGAUAGGUGCUUUUCUUAUAAAACAUUUGUCAAGCACUUACUAUGUGCCAGAAACCCCUCCUAGGACAUCCAUGCAAGGUAGUCAUCUUUAUCUCUAUUUUACAGACGAGAAGUUGAGGCUUUGGGAGAAUAAUGAAUAUGUGUUAAGUCAUACAGCUAGGAAAUGGCAGAACAGGGAUUUGAAGCCAACCUUUCUGACUGUGUCAACCUGUGUGAUUUUCCGUGACAUUAUCCUGAAGGAGAUCAAGGAUGGAUGAAGGAACUCCUAGAGCCUCAGAAUCCAGAUGGGAUCAUAAACUUUCUACAGGUGGUUCUCAAAACUUAGAUAAUUAGAUCCAUGCUUGAUGAACUACCUAAAAGUCACUUUGGAUGCUUAUUUAAAUUCCUGGUGCUUCCCACAGUUGUUAAAGAUGUCUGGAUGGGCCUAAAGCUGUGUUUAAACACUUUAAACAUUUAAACUUUAAACAUUUUAAACACUGACUCAGUCAGUUCAGUUCAGUUGCUCAAUAAUGUCAGACUGUUUGUGACCCCAUGGACUGCAGCAGGCCAGGCUUCCCUGUCCAUCA
ensembl:lncRNA